rnacentral:lncRNA from 1 species
AUUAUGAAUUGAAGAACCUGGAGAAUGAUGAAGAACGAACCAGUUGCUGCAAAAGUAUAAUGUUGAGGAAGAUCCGACAGAUCCGGCUCCUCCUCCGCUCUCCUCUUCUCUCUCCCUAUUUUCUAGAUUACAACUAGAACUAACUAGAACUAGAACUAGAGGAACUAGAACUAGAACUAGAUGAACUAGAACUAGAUCUAGAUGAACUAGAGGUAGAACUAGAAGAACUAGAGGGAUCCUCUCUACUUGGAUGAAGAAUUGAAACCCUAACUUUGAUUCUGUAGAAGAGGUAUGAUCUCCAGGGGCCAAGAGGGUCUGGUUUUAUAGUCCCUUCAAGUGAAUCUGGGACGUCGGAUCAAAACGACAUUGAUCUUGUGGUUUUCCUUGAAGUAUUAGGUCGGUGGAGUGUUGUCCCCGAAUUGGACUCUGUUUGGUCCAGGGGGGAGGGCGGGCGCCCAGUGCCCGGCUCCGUUACGUCUCCCGUUCGUUCCCAUGGCUUCUGGUGUCUUCUAGAUGGUAGAAAAUUGUGUGGCACGUUAAUAUCUCUAUGUAAACCUGACGUGUGGGCCUUUCUUUCGUAUUUCUUGAUAACCCCCUGCAGAAAUAGACAAACACCAAAACUUGUGGAAUUCUGUCAGAUAAAACCCUAAGUCUAGGUGUUUGUUGUAUUUGGAUCCUUUUCUAUGAUUAAUUGAUGGUUAAAUGUGAGCAUUAAGGACCGUCAACAAGCUCCCCCAAGCUUAACCUUUGCUCGUCCCUGAGCAAAGAUGAACUCAAGAGUUUCUGCAGUGGUUUCAUAACUUAAAGAUACACAUGCGUUUAAACAAGAUCUCAUCUCUGGUUAGAGUAAACUGUUAAGACUUAAAACUUACUCAUUUACCUUUCACCAUGGGACUUGUAACCGUCACUUCUGUCUUGAGUAGUUAAAAGAUAGAACAGUCUAGUCAAGCACCAUGUCUCUUGUUCUUCGAUUAACUAUAGCUCUGGAGUUUUUGCAGAUUUUCAAAUAAAACUCAGAGAUUCCUUGUAUGACCCUCUCUAGUCUCUCAUUUGUGGUAUUUCUGGAUCCUUACCAAGGCAGUAAUGCUGUAUGCCUUCUCUCAAAGUAUGUGGUAUUUUUGGUAUGGGGCAUAGUGGCAUUGCCUUCUCUCUCACCCUACUCUAAUAAGGUUUUGAUAUCUGGAGCUCAUAGGUGGGAGAUAGCUAAUACAUACUUACAAGACAUUUAUUGCAUAGUCAAACCAUGGAUCCAGAAGAACAAGUCAAUAAGUCAAAUCAAGAUGUGAAUGUGUGGCGAAUGAAUGGUGUAUGGUAAUGAUGGUGAUAACAAUGGUGAAAACAAUGGUGAAAGUCUAAUUCUACUUGUGCUCUUUUGAGGGGAUACAUACCUUUCUUGCUCUUUUGAAACUUUUUGAGGAGAAUGAGAUGCUCUAUAUUUUCUUUCUUUUCUCUCAGGUGGGUAUUUUGUACCCCUAAUUCUACUGUCGGACACUUGUCCAUUUUUACCUCUCGUCUCACUUUUUUUUCUUUUCUUUCGAGGUUCCGGGCACUUGCCCCUUUUUAUUUCCUCGUAUAUAUAUUUUUUUUCUCUUUUUUUUCUUUUUUUAAGAGCACUCAUCUCAUGAGAUAAUAUAGCAAGUGGUAAUGCAAAAAUGUUUUUGUCUAUUCUCUCCCGGAUUAGGAGUAGAAUAUUUUUAGGUGAUUCUGGAGAUGGAAAUGGGUGGAUAUAUGUGGAUGCGUACUUCCGGAGUAGAAGCAGCAUGUAUGAGUGAACGUGCAAGUGAAUCUUGAUUUAACCACAUGACAAGCUUCUAAGGGUCUACACAGCUUGACCACACUCAAUGCUCAUAAGUAGUAAAGUAAAUGUGUGGUUCAUAGUCUAGGAAGCAUGUAUAUACGGCUGUGGUAGGAAUUUAAACUCUCAUCAUACAGGAACUCAUCAUGCAACAUUUUAAAGAUUUUCAAAGAUAAAGUUCUCCAGAAUUCUAGCAUCUCUAGGAACAGAUAAAUAGCACCUCAACCUUCCCAUAUCAUAUCCGUUAACGACUUAGACUUUAGGUCAAGUACUCUCCCCACAAGUUCUGGUUUAGAGCAAAUCUUAAUUAAUAACAGUCAUGCCUAAACUUAAGAGAGAUUUCAAUUUUGAGAACUAAUCAUGGCAGAGCAACUACUCAUCAUAUCCAUGUGAGAGCUUAUCAUGAGGGUUCAUAGCAAACUUUAUUUAUUUAUUUAUUUAUUUAUUUAUUUAGCAAACUAAGCAAAGAUAUAUAUGUAUAAGCACAAAAUCUUUAUUUGGGUUUUUAUGAUCAUGCAUCUUUUUAUUAUUUGAGUAAAGUAUAAACGUGAGUAAAAUACUUAGCUGGAUAAAUGGGGGUGCUCUCCCCCAAGCUGGAUUUUGACGCAAUUUCUUCUGAUGUAGCUAGCAGGUGGCGGGGGUGUAAUUGAAUGUCGACAGCACCCUGACAGCGAUUAUGAUGUCCUCCGUCUGCUAGUCUUCUUUGAUCCUUGAAUUCUGUGGAGCUCAAAUAGAUAACAAAGCUUUGUGGAACUAGUUAAGUGUUAGCAUAAAUAUCUAGCCUUUAUCAUGUUGAGCCUCCUCAAUAAAUGUUACUCUUUUUAAUAGGAUUAUAAAUCUAUUUUUAUAUUUUAAUUUUUUUAUAGGACAGGAAUAUAUAUUUAUUUUAUUUUUAUGCCACCACAGUGAAUGUACUUAUGGGUUUUAUGCCAUGAGCAUACUCACAUGGGGCUUACUUAACAUUUUUAUUUCUUUUUAAGAUGAUAUGAACCUGAUUAACUAAGCAAACUAUUUUAAAUAAUUGAAGGGAAACGGAUAACUACCAAGUUUACUUCUUGACAAGGCGUUCGGUGUUUUUAAGUCAUCCGAACGGGACUCUCCAUAUUCUCAGUCAUCCUGGGAUUCGCUGGAUGGCGUAGUCGGUGGUCCCGGCGGCGCUUGGUCUUCAUGUAUAACUAUCUUCUCUCUACACACCUGACUCGGUGCUACGGUCUCCUUAGGAUAAUUCUGUUUAAGUUGUAUGUCUUCAGACUGUACUACUUCCCCUUCGUAGUCUGCCCAUCCAUCCUUGAUGAUUUGCCUCCUCUGGUUGCGGUUGCGUCAUCUUCUUCUUGUCCUGACCUGCUUAGAGUCUUUAACUAUAUAGUUAAGGUCAGUAAAAUAGUGGCAUACCUUCUCAGAGGGGAAGUGCAUGUGGACUUCUCCGGUUCCAAUGUAGAUGAUUGCUUUAACAGUGCUGAGAAACGGUCUUCCAAGGAUGAUGGGUGUAUCGUACUUGUCUUCUCCCAUGUCAAUAACCUGAAAGUCUCUCGGAAUGUCUGAUCUGCUAUCUGGAGCUGAAUGUAUGUUGGUUUUAGGGGCAUGGUUCCGAAUAGGAGCUGAUAGGUGACUGCGGCCAUUACGUUGACGUCAGAUCCGGUGUCGUAGAGUGUCUUCUGAAAAUAAUAUCCGUUGAUUGUGCACUCGAUGCUUGGAACACCAGGGUCGUCCUUCUUGGUCAGGAAUGGUGACUUGAGUUGACGAUCUUGACCUUCUUGAGCUGCAGUGACCAUCUUAGUUGACUCAGUCCACAUUUGCUUGUUUUUGUUCCUCCUGUUGGUCCUCUUCCUUGGUUCAUGUCGGGAAUGCUUUGAGAUUUGUGUAGUCUUAUUCUUGAAGGAAAAACGUCUCCUUCCUCCCCUUGAUGUAGAAACUGAUCUUUGCAGCACUAGCGUAGAUGAUAGCUCGAGAGGUGUUCAGGAAUGGCCUCCCUAGGAUGAUGGGUGCCCUCUCAUCAGUACCAGUCUCUAUCACCACGAAGUCUGCUGGGGCGUACAAGGUACCAACUCAGACGCAGAGGUUCCUGGGCAUAAUGUUGACGCUGGAGCCAAAGUCGCAGAGUGCUUCUAGAAAGUCCACCAUGCCGAUGGAGAUCGGGAUGACGGGGCAUCCUGGAUUGUCUCUCUUGACCGGCAGAAGGUCAGUAAUUACUUCCACAACAGGGUUACUCCAGUAGUUAUGUCCUCAAGCAUCUUAGGGCAGUGAUUGCCUGAGUGUCCAGUAUCUCCAGUGUGUUUGUGCUCGUAGAUCUAGGUUCUUCACUUGGUGGAGUCUGGGAGUUGUAAAAGUCCUUCUUAUUUUGCUUCAAGAGUACCUGCUCAUAGAGACAAGGCAGAGACCAAGUGCAUGGGCCCUAUUGGUGGAAAACACCAACAGAACCAAAAGUGUAUUUGUUCUUCUCUAACCUUAAGCAUAGUGAGCAAGACAAAGUUGAUGGAUAAUAAGAUCAUGAGUGUAGCAUUUAAAACAUUCGUCAGAUCAGAUCACUCAACCUAAUGGAAAGAUAAUCUAUCUAUACUUAUGUUUUUAUAUAUAUAUAUUUUCCAAAGAUUGAGUGUGCAACAUUUUAGCUCAUAAUAUUAGGAGUGUGGGAUCACAAAGGUAGAAGGACUAAACAUAUUGGAUCGAUUGGGUUGGUUAAUCUAGAGUUGUUAAUCAUACAUGUUUGUCUCUUUUAUUCAUGUGAACGUCAAAACCAAGGAGAAGCUUAUAAAAGUGAUAGUCAAGUACCUUAAGAUGUUACCUUAAUUGAAGAGUGAUGGUACAGUAUCACCUAUUGGAAGCUUUCCUUUCUUAGCGGUUGUGCAUCGUGUUUGUAGCACACUCCAUGGAUCAUCACUUGUGAGCUAUGCCUUCCUUGUGUAAAUUGUUAAACUUCAUGUGCCUCUCUCUUUGUCUCCAAUGUGAGUUUAUCUCAGGACUUCCCAGGUCGAUAUUGAAAGUUUUCCUACAGGGGUUAGUCCAACGAAAUAUCCAAUAUCUACUAUAGCAUACUAUCGGUUCAAAAAUCAACCUAGACACCAUGUCUAAUUUGAUUUAGGAGGGUAUUUUAACCUAAGCACCAUGCUUAAUCUAAAAUCCCUUGGAAGUAAGAUCAUCAUUCCUAGCUAAGCACCAUGCUUAAUUAAGAGAUAAAUGAAACUACUCCAAACCUAGACAUAUACUGAAGCAAAUAAAGGUAGCAUGAGAGCAUUUAUAGAGAUCUACUCAAGUGGAGAUGAAGUAGUAUGAUUAGUAUUUAACAAAUUGAGCAUGUCUCAAAGGUAGAGACAACCAACAUAGCAACAUGGCAAAUAAUGUUUUUAUGUAAAGUACUCCCCCAAGCUUGAAUUUUGCAAAAUUCAAGUUUGGAUGAAUUUAAUUCAAUGUUGUAUGAUGAUUGGUUGGACAUACCUUGUGCUUGUCAUUCAUCCGAUCUUCUUGCUCCAAUCCUAGAAAGGUUAGUGACAAGAAUACCCGAAGGAAUAUUUUUACAAUUAUCUUUAUAUGCUCAACACACAAGGUAAUGUUGCAAAUAAUUAAAAGCUCAUGUUAUGAUCUAAUCAGUGCUUGUUUUAGGACACUAAGCUUGUCCUUGGGAAACCAUCAAUUUAUGUCAGUGAAGUGGUUUCCCCUCCAACGCUGACCUAUAUCAAGAUCAACUCAACGAGAUCUGCAAUAUUUAAUAUAGACAUAUGCAUCGACAACCACCCUUUUAAAGUUUUUAUAAAUAGAAAGGAAGUGGGGGUUGGAGAUCUCGAAUGUGGUGAUGUUGGAGAGACCAAUGGAUUGUGAAGAUGUUGCAUAUGAGCAUGGAGUAAAUGAAGUGGCUAUGAAAUAAAUUGCAUGCUCAUUAAUGCUAAGAGUGAAAUCCAUGUGGUACGGUGAAAAUGGUAAGGUGAGUGUGGUAAAAAAAAAGGAAAAGAAAAAGGAUACACGGACGACUUGGUUCGAAACUAGCACAGCUACCGUUCUCCGGCAACGGUGCCAGAAAGCUUGUUGGGUAUUUUAAACGCAAACAGAAAAAUCCGCAAGCGCACGGAUACCGAUGUAGCCUUCACCCGGGAGUAUUCCAGAGUAUCGAUUUUCCACAGAGAACGUGAGUGUACUAAUUAAGAUCCAAGAUCGCCCAAGGAUAACUAUAUAAUUAUUUUUGGUGGGAAGAGAGGAAGUUUCCUGAGAGUUCUCUAGUUGAUCUAAGAAUCAAGAAUUACUUCAAGAUUAUCUAUUUCGGGAUAUCAGAGCACUAACCACAGAAAGAGAUGAGAAGGGGGUUAGGAAGGUCUGACUACGGUCCUACAAACAACGAUCCGAACGUGGUGGAAUACGUCGACCGUUAGGGCUGUCACUACCCUAAGGCUACCACAACAAUCCGCAGGAUUGGGUGCAAUUCCAGGUAAUUGCAAGACUAAACACCACGUCUAAUCUAUUAAUUACUACUCUAGCGCUAUAAAGACUAGAGCACUUGAUGCAAGCGGGAAUCCAAUAAAUAACUUGAAUGUAAAUAAAAGUAAUUAAAGAACUCAAGAAUUAUGAAUUGAAGAACCUGGAGAAUGAUGAAGAACGAACCAGUUGCUGCAAAAGUAUAAUGUUGAGGAAGAUCCAACAGAUCCGGCUCCUCCUCCGCUCUCCUCUUCUCUCUCCCUAUUUUCUAGAUUACAACUAGAACUAACUAGAACUAGAACUAGAACUAGAACUAGAGGAACUAGAACUAGAACUAGAUGAACUAGAACUAGAUCUAGAUGAACUAGAGGUAGAACUAGAAGAACUAGGGGGAUCCUCUCUACUUGGAUGAAGAAUUGAAACCCUAACUUUGAUUCUGUAGAAGAGGUAUGAUCUCUAGGGGCCAGGGGGGUCUGGUUUUAUAGUCCCUUCAAGUGAAUCUGGGUCGUCGGAUCAAACCGACAUUGAUCGUGUGGUUUUCCUUGAAGUAUUAGGUCGGUGGAGUGUUGUCCCCGAAUUGGACUCUGUUUGGUCUAGGGGGGAGGGCGGGCGCCCAGUAAGGGAGGGCGGGCGCCCAGUGCCCGGCUCCGUUACGUCUCCCGUUCGUUCCUGUGGCUUCUGGAGUCUUCUAGAUGGUAGAAAAUUGUGCGGCACGUUAAUAUCUCUAUGUAAACCCGACGUGUGGGCCUUUCUUUCGUAUUUCUUGAUAACCCCCUGCAGAAAUAGACAAACACCAAAACUUGUGGAAUUCUGUCAGAUAAAACCCUAAGUCUAGGUGUUUGUUACAUUUGGAUCCUUUUCUAUGAUUAGUUGAUGGUUAAAUGUGAGCAUUAAGGACCGACAGGGGAGUUGUUGACGGUCCUUAAGUACCAAAUUUAAUUAUCAAAUAAACAAAGAAAAGGAUCCAAAUGCAACCAACACCCAGAAUUAGGGUUUUAUCUGACAGAACUCCACAAGUUAAGUUUUGGUGUUUGUCUAUUUCUGCAGGGGGUUAUCAGGAAAUAUGGAGGAAAGGCCCACACUUUGGGUUUACGUAGAGAUAUUAACGUGCCCCGUAAUUUUCUAUCAUCUAGAAGACUCCAGAAGCCACGAGAACGAACGGGAGGCCGAGCGGGCCCGGGGGCAGGGCGCCCGCCCUCCCCACUUGGGCGCCGGCCCAGCUCUGGCAACCAAUCACGUUCAACUUCGCGGAUUAUGCUCCACCGACCUAAAGGAUCAAAGAGAACCGUUCAAUCAAUGUCGGUUUGAUCCGACGACCCAGAUUCACUUGAGGGGACUAUAUAAGCAGCCCCCUGGCCCCUGGAGGAGGCAAACCCCUUCAUCCUUAUUUAUUAUUCAUAGACAGAGCAAAAGCUAGGGUUUGGAGAUGAGAGCUCUCCUCUCAUCUCUAAACUAGAGUAGAUCUAGAUAGUAGCGAGAUGGAGAGCGAGGGAGGAUUGGAUGAGAGGCUGGCCUGUCGGUUCUUCCUCCGGUUGUACUUCGCCAUAAUCAAGCUCUAAUCAAGCUUGCUCAUGGGAUGACUCUGGUAAUCUACUUCUAUUUCAUUAUGCAAUUACUAUCCAUGUAUGUUCUGGUUCACAACUCUUUUGAGAACUUUAAUCUACAGUACGCUAUAGGUGAGAGUUGUAGUAUAGGUGUAAGCAUGGUGCUUAGACCUAGAUUACUUGUGGAUAUCGUCUGUCUAGCCGGAUCGUGUGGUAGGCCGCGUAGGUGACAGUUACGUUGGUCCCCUGUAGUCCACCUCCCGUUAGUAGGACUGGUAGGGUUUAUCGGCCUAUGGAUAAGCAUCCUUUAUGGUGUAUUCUUAUCACGUGGUGCGCCCCAGACAUAGACAUACCCCUUUGAAGUAGAGAAACCAUAGUUAUCCUCUCUAUUCUCCUACCAUCGCCCAUAUAUUAGAUUGCUCUACUCUCUAUUCUCAUAUUAUCACCCAUUGUUAUCUUACCUUUAAUAUUGUUCUUAUUCAAUUCUACCAUCUUUCCUAUUUACACCUACUUAUCUAUCUAGGUUGAGUUAGAGCAUAGAUCAGUUCUCCCGUUUCCCUGUGGAUACGAUAAAACCUUUAACCGGGUAAAAGCUACAAUGGUAUCCAUGCGCUUGCGGAUUUAUUUGUGUGCGUAUAAAUACCAUAGUACACUCUAGUGCCAUGCUGGGGAUGACAACCUAGUAUUCAAGUGGUGUUAGCAAGUGUCAACACUAGCAUGCCCCUUCUUCAUGGUGCUCUCAUCAUCACUUGAGGAGUCAUCACUAUCCCAAGUUGCAACAUGGGCAUCACCCUUCUUCUUGUUUGAGCCUUCCUUCUUUUCUUGCUUCUUCUUUUGCUUCUUUCUUUCCUUCUUGAUAGCAUGUUCAUCAUCACUAUCAUAGGGACACUUGGCGAUGAGAUGAUCCUUGCUAUGGCAUCUAAAGCACCUCAUGGAAUGGUCAUUCUUCUUGGAGGAGCUUUUCUUCCUUCUUGCCCGAUAGCCCUUCUUCAUAAACUUGCUAAAUCUCUUGACAAGUAGAGCCAUCUCCUCAUCUUCAUCACUAUCACAAGAGCUUGCUUCUUCUUCACUUGAUGAUUCUAUCUUGGCUUUGCCCUUGGACGAGGAGGUCCUGAAUGCCACACUUUUCUUCUUCUCAUCAUCCUUCUUCCACCAUACUUCUUCCUUUUCUUGAUCAACUCAUCCUUCUCAUCAUCUUCUCUAUAAGCAUCAUCGGUCAUCACUUCUUGGAAUACUUGUUGGGGAGUUGAUUCACUAAGAGUUGUCUUGACUAGUACGAUGAUCAAUGUGUCAAAUCUCUUGGGCAAGCUUCUCAAGAACUUCAUAGAGAAUUGACUAUCUUUUACUUCUACCCCAAGUGCCUUGAGUUCAUUCACUAUGACUUGCGACCGGUGAAACAUCUCCAACACACUUUCAUCAUUCUUGCAUCUUGAAGCUUGAAAACUUUUCUUGGAGGAUUGUUGGGUAUUUUAAACGCAAACAGAAAAAAUCCGCAAGCGCACGGAUACCGAUGUAGCUUUCACCCGGGAGUAUUCCAGAGUAUCGAUUUUCCACAGAGAACGUGAGUGUACUAAUUAAGAUCCAGGAUCGCCCAAGGAUAACUAUAUAAUUAUUUUUGGUGGGAAGAGAGGAAGUUUCCUGAGAGUUCUCUAGUUGAUCUAAGAAACAAGAAUUACCUCAAGAUUAUCUAUAUCGGGACAUCAGAGCACUAACCACAGAAAGAGAUGAGAAGGGGGCUAGGAAGGUCUGACUACGGUCCUACAAACACCGAUCCGAACGUGGUGGAAUACGUCGACCGUUAGGGCUGUCACUAUCCUAAGGCUACCACAACAAUCCGCAGGAUUGGGUGCAAUUUUAGGUAAUUGCAAGACUAAACACCACGUCUAAUCUAUUAAUUACUACUCUAAUGUUUCAAAGAUUAGAGCACUUGAUGCAAGCGGGAAUCCAAUAAAUAACUUGAAUGUAAAUAAAAGUAAUUAGAGAACUCAGGAGUUAUGAGUUGAAGAACCUGGAGAACGAUGAAGAACGAACCAGUUGCUGCAAAAGUACAAUGUUGAGGAAGAUCCGACAGAUCCGGCUCCUCCUCCGCUCUCCUCUUCUCUCUCCCUAUUUUCUAGAUUACAACUAGAACUAACUAGAACUAGAACUAGAGGAACUAGAACUAGAUGAACUAGAACUAGAUCUAGAUGAACUAGAGAUAGAACUAGAAGAACUAGAGGGAUCCUCUCUACUUGGAUGAAGAAUUGAAACCCUAACUUUGAUUCUGUAGAAGAGGUAUGAUCUCCAGGGGCCAGGGGGGUCUGGUUUUAUAGUCCCUUCAAGUGAAUCUGAGCCGUUGGAUCAAACCGACAUUGAUUGAACGGUUAUCCUUGAUCCUUUAGGUCGGUGGAGCAAUAUCCCGAAAGAGAGUCCUGAUUGGACUCUGGUUGAGGGCGGGCGCCCAGGAUAGGAGGGCGGGCGCCCUGUCCCUGAGUCCUCUCGGCCUCCGCUUCGGUCCCGUGGCUUCUGGAGUCUUCUAGAUGAUAGAAAAUUGCGUGGCACGUUAAUAUCUCUAUGUAAACCUGACGUGUGGGCCUUUCCUCCGUAUUUCCUGAUAACCCCCUGCAGAAAUAGACAAACACCAAAACUUGUGGAAUUCUGUCAGAUAAAACCCUAAGUCUAGGUGUUGGUUGCAUUUGGAUCAUUUUCUCUGAUUAGUUGAUGGUUAAAUAUGAGCAUUAAGGACCGUCAACAAGCUCCCCCAAGCUUAACCUUUGCUCGUCCCUGAGCAAAGAUGAACUCAAGAGUUUCUGCAGUGGUUUCAUAACUUAAAGAUACACAUGUGUUUAAACAAGAUCUCAUCUCUGGUUAGAGUAAACUGUUAAGACUUAAAACUUACUCAUUUACCUUUCACCAUGGGACUUGUAACCGUCACUUCUGUCUUGAGUAGUUAAAAGAUAGAACAGUCUAGUCAAGCACCAUGUCUCUUGUUCUUCGAUUAACUAUAGCUCUGGAGUUUUUGCAGAUUUUCAAAUAAAACUCAGAGAUUCCUUGUAUGACUCUCUCUAGUCUCUCAUUUGUGGUAUUUCUGGAUCCUUACCAAGGCAUUAAUGGUGUAUGCCUUCUCUCAGAGUAUGUGGUAUUUUUUGUAUAAGGCAUAGUGACAUUGCCUUCUCUCUCACCCUACUCUAAUAAGGUUUUGAUAUCUGGAGCUCAUAGGUGGGAGCCAGCUAAUACAUACUUACAAGACAUUUAUUGCAUAGUCAAACCAUGGAUCCAAAAGAACAAGUCAAUAAGUCAAAUCAAGAUGUGCAUGUGUGGCGAAUGAAUGGUGUAUGGUGAUGAUAGUGAUAACAAUGGUGAAAGUCUAAUUCUACUUUUGCCCUUUUGAAGGGAUGCAUACCUUCCUUGCUCUUUUGAAACUUUUGGGGAGAAUGAGAUGCUCUAUAUUUUCUUUUUUUUCUCUCAGGUGGGUAUCUUGUACCCCUAAUUCUACUGUCGGACACUUGUCCAUUUUUACCUCUCGUCUCACUUUUUCUUUAAUUUCGAGGUUCCGGGCACUUGCCCUUUUUUAUUUCCUCGUAUUCUUUCUUUUUUUUCUCUUUUUUUAGAGCACUCAUCUCAUGAGAUAAUAUAGCAAGUGGUAGUAACAAGAUAACUUGAGCAUUUAUUUCACAGCGGAAAAACAGAAAUAUUUUUGGCUAUUCUCUCCCAGAUUAGGAGUAGAAUAUUUUUGGGUAGUUCUGGAGAUGGAAAUGGAUGGAUAUAUGUGGAUGCGUACUUCCGGAGUAGAAGCAGCAUGUAUGAGUGAACGUGCAAGUGAAUCUUGAUUUUAACCGCAUGACAAGCUCCUAAGGGUCUACACAGCUUGACCACACUCAAUGCUCAUAAGCAGUAAAAAGUAAAUGUGUGGCUCAAAGUCUAGCAAGCAUGUAUAUCUGGCUGUGGUAGGAAUUUAAACUCUCAUCAUACAGGAACUCAUCAUGCAACAUUUUAAAAAUUUUCAAAGAUAAAAUUCUCUAGAAUUCUAGCAUCUCUAAGAACAGAUAAACAGCAGCUCAACCUUCCCAUAUCAUAUCCGUUAACGACUUAGACUUCAGAUCAAGUACUCUUCCCACAAGUUCAGGUUUAGAGCAAAUCUUAAUUAAUAACAGUUAGGCCUAAACUUGAGAGAGAUUUCAAUUUUGAGAACUAGUCAUGGCAGAGCAACUAUUCAUCAUUUCCAUGUGAGAGCUUAUCAUGAGGGUUCAUAGCAAACUUUAUUUAUUUAUUUAUUUAGCAAACUAAGCAAAGAUAUUUAUAAGCACAAAAUCUUUAUUUGAGUUUUUAUGAUCAUGCAUCUUUUUAUUAUUUGAGUAAAAUAUAAACGUGAGUAGAACACUUAGCUGGAUAAAUGGGGGUGCUCUCCCCCAAGCUGGAUUUUGACGUAAUUUCUUCUGAUGUAGCUAGCAGGUGGCGGAGGUGUAUUUGAAUGUCGGCAGCACCCUGACAGCGAUUAGGAUGUCCUCCGUCUGCUAGUCUUCUUUAAUCCUUGAAUUCUAUGGAGCUCAAAUAGACAACAAAACUUUGUGGAACUAGUUAAGUGUUAGCAUAAAAACUCUUAGCCGUUAUCAUGUUGAGCUUCCUCUAAUAAAUUUUACUCUCUUUGGUUGGAUCAUAAAUCUAUUUUUAUAAUUUUAUUUUUACAGGACAGGAAUAUAUUUAUUUUAUUUUUAUGCCACCACAGUGAAUGUACUUAUGGGUUUUAUGCCAUGAGCAUACUCACAUGGGGCUUACUUAACAUUUUUAUUUUCUUUUCAAGAUGAUAUGAACCUGAUUAACUAAGCAAACUAUUUUAAAAUAAUUGAAAGGAAAAAGAUAACUACCAAGUUUACCUCUUGGCAAGGCGUUCGGUGUUUUUAAGUCCUCCGAACGGGACUCUCCGUUUUCUCAGUCGUCCUGGGAUUCGCUGGAUGGCGUAGUCGGUGGUUCCGGCGGUGCCUCCUCUUCAUGUAUAACUAUCUUCUCUCUGCACACCUGACUCGGUGCUACGGUCUCCUCAGGACAGUUCUGUUCAAGUUGUUUGUCUUCAGACCUUACCACUUCUCCUUCGUAGUCUGCCCAUCCGUCCUUGAUGAUUUGCGUCCUCUGGUUGCGGUUGCGUCGUCUUCUUCUUGUCCUGACCUGCUUAGAGUCUUAAACUAUAUGGUUAGGGUUAGUAAAAUAGCGGCGUACCUUCUCAGAGGGGAAGUGCAUGUGGACUUCUCUGGUUCCAAUGUAGAUGAUUGCUUUAACGGUGCUGAGGAACGGCCUCCUAAGGAUGAUGGGUGGAUCGUACUCAUCUUCUCCCACAUCAAUAACUUGAAAAUCUUUCGGACUGUCUGAUCUGCCAUCUGGAGCUGAAUGUAUGUCGGUUUCAGGGGCAUGGUUCCGAAUAGGAGCUGAUAGGUGACUGGGUCGUCCUUUUUGGUUAGGUGACUUAAGUCGACGGUCUUGACCUCCUUGAACUGCAGUGACCAUCUUAGCUGACUCGGUCCACAUUCGCUUGUUCCUGUUCCUCCUGUUGGUCCUCUUCCUUGGUUUAUGUCGGGAAUGCUCUGAGAUUUGUGUAGUCUUAUUCUUGAAGGAAAACGUCUCCUUCCUCCCCUUGAUGUAGAAACUGAUCUUGGCAGCACUAGCGUAGAUGAUAGCUCCCGAGGUGUUCAGGAAUGGCCUCCAUAGGAUGAUGGGAGCCCUCUCAUCAGUACCAGUCCCUAUCACCACGAAGUCUGCUGGGGCGUACAAGGUACCAACUCGGACGUAGAGGUUCUUCAAUAUUCCCUUUGGGAAACUAAGCGUACGAUCUGCAAACUGCAAACACAUGGCUGUUUCUAAUAAAGGAUGUGUAAAGAAUUUUUCAUAGAGUACCCUGGGCAUAAUGUUGACACUGGAGCCAAAGUCGCAGAGUGCUUCUAGGAAGUCCACCAUGCCGAAGGAGAUCGGGAUGACGGGGCAUCCUGGAUUGUCUCUCUUGACCGGCAGAAGGUCAGUAAUUACUUCCACAACAGGGUUACUCCACUAGUUACGUCCUCAAGCAUCUAAGGGUAGUGAUUGCCUGAGUGUCCAGUAUCUCCAGUGUGUGUACUCGUUGAUCUAGGUUCUUCACAUGGUGGAGUCUGGGAGUUGUAAAAGUUCUUCAUAUUUUGCUCAAAGUGUACCUGCUCAUAGAGACAAGGCAGAGAUCAAGUGCAUGGGCCCUGUUGGUGGAAAACACCAACAGAACCAAAAGUGUAUUUGUUCUUCUCUAACCUUAAGCAUAGUGAGCAAGACAAAGUUGAUGGAUAAUAAGAUCAUGAGUGUAGCAUUUAAAACAUUUGUCAGAUCAGAUCACUCAACCUUAUGGAAAGAUAAUCUAUCUAAGCAAAUGUUUUUUUACAUGACUAUCAUUUUCCAAAGAUUGAGUGUGCAACAUUUUAGUUCAUAUGAUUAGGAGUGUGAGAUCACAAAGGUGGAAGGACUAAACAUGUUGAAUCGAUUGGGUUGGUUACUCUAGAGUUAUAAAUCAUACAUGUUUGUCUCAUUUAUUCAUGUGAACGUCAGAACCAAGGAGAAGCUUAUAAAAGUGAUAGUCAAGUACUUUAAGAUGUUACCUUACUUGAAGAGUGAUGGUACAGUAUCACCUUGUGGAAGCUUUCCUUUCUUAGCGGUUGUGCAUCGUGUUUGUGGCACCCUCCAUGGAUCAUCUCUUGUGAGCUAUGCCUUCCUUGUGUAAAUUGUUAACUUUCAUGUGUCUCUCUCUUUGUCUCCAAUGUGAGUUUAUCUCAGGACUUCCCAGGUCGAUAUUGAAAGUUUUCUUGCAGGGGUUAGUCCAACAAAAUAUCCAAUAUCUACUAUAGCAUACUAUCGGCUCAAAGAUCAACCUAGACACCAUGUCCAAUUUGAUUUAGGAGGGAAUUUAACCUAAGCAUCAUGCUUAAUUUAAAAUCCUUUGGAAGUAAGAUCAUCAUUCCUAAACUAAGCACCAUGCUUAAUUAAGAGAUAAAUGAAACUACUCCAAACCUAGACAUAUACUAAAGCAAAUAAAGGUAGCAUGAGAGCAUUUAUAGAGAUCUACUCAAGUGGAGAUGAUGUAGUGUGAUUAGUAUUUAACAAAUUGAGCAUGUCUCAAAGGUAGGGACAACCAACAUAGCAACAUGGCAAAUGAUGUUUUUAUGUAAAGUACUCCCCCAAGCUUGAAUUUUGCAAAAUUCAAGUUUGGAUGAAUUUAAUUCAAUGUUGUAUGAUGAUUGGUUGGACAUACCUUGUGCUUGUCAUUCAUCCGAUCUUCUUGCUUCAAUCCUGGAAAGGUUAGUGACAAGAAUACCCGAAGGAAUAUUUUUACAAUUAUCCUUAUAUGCUCAAUACACAAGGUAAAGUUGCAAAUAAUUAAAAGCUCAUGUUACGAUCUGAUCAAUGCUUGUUUUAGGACACUAAGCUUGUCCUUGGGAAACCAUCAAUUUAUGUCUGCGAAGUGGUUUCCCCUCCAACGCUGACCUAUAUCAAGAUCAACUCAACGAGAUCUGCAAAAUUUAUUAUAGAUAUAUGCAUCGACAACCGCCCUUUUAAAGUUUUUAUAAAUAGAAAGGAUGAGGGGGUUGGAGAUCUCGAAUGUGGUGAUGUUGGAGAGACCAAUGGAUUGGUAAGAUGUUGCAUAUGAGCAUGGAGUAAAUGAAGUGGCUACGAAAUAAAUUCCAUGCUCAUUAAUGCUUAGAGUGAAAUCCAUGUGGUAUGGUGAAAAUGGUAAGGUGAGUGUGGUACAAAAAAGGAAAAGAAAAAGGAUACACGGACGACUUGGUUCGAAACUAGCACAGCUACCAUUCCCCGGCAACGGCGGCAGAAAGCUUGUUGGGUAUUUUAAACGCAAACAGAAAAAAUCCGCAAGCUCACGGAUACCGAUGUAGCUUUCACCCGGGAGUAUUCCAGAGUAUCGAUUUUCCACAGAGAACGUGAGUGUACUAAGAUCCAAGAUCGCCCAAGGAUAACUAUAUAAUUAUUUUUGGUGGGAAGAGAGGAAGUUUCCUGAGAGUUCUCUAGUUGAUCUAAGAAUCAAGAAUUACCUCAAGAUUAUCUAUAUCGGGACAUCAGAGCACUAACCACAGAAAGAGAUGAGAAGGGGGCUAGGAAAGUCUGACUACGGUCCUACAAACACCGAUCCGAACGUGGUGGAAUACGUCGACCAUUAGGGCUGUCACUACCCUAAGGCUACCACAACAAUCUGCAGGAUUGGGUGCAAUUCCAGGUAAUUGCAAGACUAAACACCACGUCUAAUCUAUUAAUUACUACUCUAAUGUUUCAAAGAUUAGAGCACUUGAUGCAAGCGGGAACCCAAUAAAUAACUUGAAUGUAAAUAAAAGUAAUUAGAGAACUCAGGAGUUAUGUGUUGAAGAACCUGGAGAACGAUGAAGAACGAACCAGUUGCUGCAAAAGUACAAUGUUGAGGAAGAUCCGACAGAUCCGGCUCCUCCUCCGCUCUCCUCUUCUCUCUCCAGAACUAGAACUAGAGGAACUAGAACUAGAACUAGAUGAACUAGAACUAGAUCUAGAUGAACUAGAGGUAGAACUAGAAGAACUAGAGGGAUCCUCUCUACUUGGAUGAAGAAUUGAAACCCUAACUUUGAUUCUGUAGAAGAGGUAUGAUCUCCAGGGGCCAGGGGGUCUGGUUUUAUAGUCCCUUCAAGUGAAUCUGAGCCGUUGGAUCAAACCGACAUUGAUUGAACGGUUAUCCUUGAUCCUUUAGGUCGGUGGAGCAAUAUCCCGAAAGAGAGUCCUGAUUGGACUCUGGUUGAGGGCGGGCGCCCUGUCCCUGAGUCCUCUCGGCCUCCGCUUCGGUCCCGUGGCUUCUGGAGUCUUCUAGAUGAUAGAAAAUUGCAUGGCACGUUAAUAUCUCUAUGUAAACCUGACGUGUGGGCCUUUCCUCCGUAUUUCCUGAUAACCCCCUGCAGAAAUAGACAAACACCAAAACUUGUGGAAUUCUGUCAGAUAAAACCCUAAGUCUAGGUGUUGGUUGCAUUUGGAUCCUUUUCUCUGAUUAGUUGAUGGUUAAAUAUGAGCAUUAAGGACCGUCAACAAGGAUGUAUGCCUUGGCGGUCUUGGUUCCCUUGGUACCCUCAAAUGUUUCUUCUAAUUUUGCUCAUGCAUCAAGAGCAAUCUCAAUGUUCUUCAUUUGCUCAAAGGUCUUGUCAUCAAGAGCUUCAUGAAGAGCACUUAUUGCAAUGUCAUUACAUUGAAGCUUCUUUUCUUCAACCGGUGCUGGUGUAUUCUCAUUUGCAACCUCAAACUUUGUUUCGGUCACCUUCCAAACCUCUCUAUUGAUUGACUUAAGAUGAGCGGUCAUCUUGACCUUCCAAUAUGCAUAAUUUGUGCCAUCAAAGUAAGGUGCCUUCUUGGUGUUGUUGAUAUGCAAACUAAGAGUCAUUUUUUCACUGAAGGUUGUUAAGCCUCAAUUAAACGGUGCCUCGGCUUCGAUACCACUUGUAAGGUCCAAAUGGCUAGAGGGGGGGUGAAUAGCCUAUUUAAAAUUCUCUACAAAUUCAACUAGACAAGUUGGUUAGUAAAAUAAGUGGUGAAGCUUUUCUAGCACUAGCACAACUAAGCUAUGCAAGCCACCUACACAAGUCUAGCAAAAAGGCUAAACACUAAAACACAACAACUAGAGAAGGCUACACAACAACUCUAUACUAACAAUAACUAAGCUACGCAAGCUAAACUAACAAGGUAGGCAAGUAUGUAAAGAGAAGAGAGUGAUUGUUAUACCGACGUUGUAGAGAUGAGAUAUAUCCAAUCAAUCACGUACACAAUCACAAGAGAGACCUCGGCAAGAGAUGACACAAGAUUUUUUUACUAAGGUUCACUUGCUUCCCGGUAAGCUACUCCUCGUUGUGGCGAUACACCCACUUGAUGGAUCACGAGCUAAUUGGCAAUUCAAAGCCAAACCCUCAGCGUGUGCCGCACAUCCACUCACAAGAUGGGGAUCCUCCAAGCCACGAGCAAUCCACUAGAGUAGCCAAUUGCGAUCUCCCACGGGGAAGGCUCAAGAACCCCUCACAAAUCACUUGGUGAGGCUUGAAACAAUCUCCAAUCACGAGCUCAACACCACCACUGCUCCAAGCCGUCUAGGGCGUCGGGAAACACCCAAGAGUAACAAGAAAUCCGCAGCAAAACUCAAGAAUCAAGUGCCACUAAAUGCAACUCUCAAAGCAAUGCACUUGACUCUUACUCAAUCUCACUAGGAUUAGCAAUCAACCAAGGAGAUGAGUGGAGAGUGUGUUCUCUAGCUCAAUGUAUGCCUCAAGUAUUCAAAUGUGCAAGAGUAAACCUCCCAAAGCUAGGCACCUUCUAUUUAAAAGCCCCCUCAAAGAAAUAGUCGUUGGCCACUUUCAUUGGGCUAAAAUCGGGGGCACCGGACGCUACCAAGCGAGCACCGGACGCUCGACCCCCUGCGUCCGGUGUUCUAGGGUUGGCCACGUUAAAUAUCGCGCGUCAAACUCUAACGGUCUCCUGCGGACCACCGAACGCGACCAAGUGAGCACUGGACACGUCUGGUACUCACCGGACUCGUGCGCAGAGAGUUUGUAAAACUCAGAUCUCACCGGACUCGGAGCACCGGACGGUCCGGUGCUCACCAGACUCGUGCGCAGAGAGGGUUGCAAAACCCCCUCACACCAGACGCACACCACCGGAUGCACGCAGAGCAUCCGGUGCUCUCAGUCAGACACCCUCUGCUAAAAUCAGGCCACACCGGACGCAUGAACAGGGAACACCCUGCGUCCGGUGCAGUGCGUCCGGUGCUCAACCCUAACAGAGCCAAGCAUUGACAGCACACCGGACGCUCAGGCCAGCGUCCGGUGCCUCCGCGUACUGCGUCCGGUGUGAGAAACACUCCCGUGACAUCUCCAAUUUCCUAACAACGCAAUAGAAAAUAUACACUUAAUUUUCUCAAAAGCACCGAAUCUCGCCUCGCAAGCUCAGCGGGAGGGAGAGAGGAACCCACACCCCUCUCAACCCUAGGAACUCCACCUCCUUUGCAAAUGUGCUAACACCAACAAGUGUCCACCACCAAAGUGCAUAUGUGUUAGCUUUUCACAAACAUUUUCAUCAAAGGAGUUAAGUUGGCACUUUACUAGAUCCUAAUGCAUAUGCUCAAGAUAUGGACCUAGUAGCACUUGAUUCGAGAGAUGACCGUGAUUUCCCCUCUUGAUAGUCGGCUAUCUAUCCUAAAUUCGGUCAAUCACUUCUCUACUCAACUUAGACUGGCAAAAGUAAAACCCUAUGUUUAUACCUUUGCAUUGAUCACUUUACUCCUCGUCUAUCACCAAGAUCUUCCCUUCAUGUUUCAUCCCUUUGUGAUCAUGUGGCCACCUUUCCAUGCCACCAUGCAUCUUCAUCACAUGUGUUUCUAUGCCUAACUCAAAUCACUUAAACACAAGGUAUUAGCAACUUGGUGUCAUUAAUUACCAAAACCAAACUUGGGCUUUCAUCCUCCAUGAUCAGGAUGGCGUGCUUCUUGCCGUGGGAGCACGGGAAGGCGCCCACGGGCGGCGGCGCCGCUGUCGCGCGGCCUCGUCAUAUGCCACGGUGGCCCCUUCCGCGUGGCCUUCAUUUGGAUUCAGGGCAGGCAAUUGCAUGCUCGUGUGUACUCCUCCGACGCCGGCGAUGGCGUGGGCAUCUAGAGGUCGACGUGCGCAGAGGAGGAGACAAAGAUAGAGUCCACCACCUUGGGUGCUGGUGAUGGUGACCAUGCUCUAGCUCCGGCAACAUGUUCGAUGCAAUGUCUUAGAGAGAGGUAAACUUACCAGAAUGAGGAAGAGAUAAUUGUAUGCAAACCAAGUCAACCAACCAAACAAGAAAUCGUCCUAGCCAGGCUCAACCACAAAGGCAACCAAACAAAGAGGUCUUGGCUUGUUAGGGGUAGGCUUGGUGUAGCCUGGCUUGAUUUUACUAGUCUGGCCAGGUUAGAAAACGAACCAAACACACCCUAUGUUUUUGUGGUUGGAGAGAAUCUCACACCAAGAUGUAUGGGUGUGUUUGGUUCCCAUCCAGAUGUGGCCAAAUCUGCCCUGGGCUAGAUUUCACAUGUUUGGUUCCUUGUUCUAGGCUUGGGGCAUGGCCAGGAUGGGUCGGCCGUACGAUGUUGGCCUGGCCAGCCUUGAAAGGCCAAUUCGGCCUUCCCAACUGAGCCAGGCUCUGGCCAGCCUCCUGCCUAGGUUCCCGUCAUUGCUCCCAAACUUCUUCUCUGCAUCCUCCCGGUCCCCAACCCUACCUCCUCAGCAACUCCACGCCGGCGGCGGCGGCGUCCGUGAGGCAGGCCAGCGCGGAGACGAGACGCGCGAGGCGGCGGCGCCGGGCCGCCACAUCAGGUAGCACCCCGCGGCAGCGUCCGCCCAGAGGAGCUAGCAGCGGCGGCGCCGGGCGAAGCCAAGCGCGCGGUGGCCGGAGAUGCGGAUGGGGAAUCUCCGGUCGAGGCUCUCGGCGACGACGCGCAUGCGUGGGCGCAUCUCGGGGUCGGGCUCCUCGCACCGUGGGGUCGACUCGAGCACGACGUGGAAGACGGCCAGGACCUUCUUCUUGGCGUGCACCUCGCUGAGCAGUGUGGAGUCGACCACCUCCGAGCAGCGUGGGGUCGCCCAGGACCUUCUCCUUGGCGUGCACCUUGUCGUGCAUCUCGCUCCGUGCUCGCGCCCGCUCCAUGCGCCGGGCCAUGCUCCGUGCACGCCGCGCCCUGGCCUCCAGGUCUUCGCUCGUCCGGUACUGCUCUCCAGGAAGCUGUAUCCGUGUCCAUGUGGUGCUCGCUAGGUGUUCAUCAUGUGGUCUCCAAGAAGCUAUGCAGUUGUAGAUGGGCAAGUGCAGGGGAGAAGAUGAUGGACUGCUGCUGGUGCUAUGUUCCAUGUUUUUUUUGUAUGUUCGUGCUGAGCACCUGAGCUGCUGCCCGUCCGAUGGCGUUGGUGAGAAUUGGCGCACAGCAGGUGUUCGACGAAUUAUGUCAAAGGUGGUGAACUAACCUGUAUAAAAAAGAGGUGACUCUAUCCAAGCCAAACAACCCAACCAAACACACUAAAAGUUAGACAGGCUUAGAUAAUGCAUGCAACCAAACAAGUCCAUCUUGGCUCACUAGAGACAGGCUUGAUCUAGCCUGGCUUAUUUCCUAGCCAGGCUAGAAGAGAGACAGGAAACCAAACACACCCUAUAUUUCUGCAACUCGAUGAUGUUGGCGCAUUUGAAGUUGCUUGUGCAAGACUUGUGAAAGAUCCCACAUUGCCAAAGGAUCAAAUCAACUUGGCAGAGUGGGCGAUGAGGUGGCAGCGCCAGCAUUAGCUGGAAGCAAUCAUGGAUCCUCAUCUGGAUGGUGACUUCUCAUCAGAAUCACUAAAGAAGUUUGGUGAGAUUGCAAAGAAAUGUCUCGCUGAUGAUGGGAGAAGCAUGCCAUCAAUGGGUGAGGUCCUGUGGCAUCUUGAGUAUGUGCUGUAGCUCCGUGAAGGUUACAAGCGAAAUGUAGAGUUCGAAAUAUUUAGAAGCGGUGAGUUGGAAUUCGCUGAUAUAUCCUUUAGCCUCCCUCACAUCAGAGAGGGGGAAGAGGAACGCCACUCUAUGCCAUCAAGUAUCAGAGAGGAACUAGACACAUGAGAACUUCUGACUUCAGCAAAAACUCACUGAAAAAUCUUGCUUUGUAGCCAUGAUCUUGAUGUAAAGUUGUGUUAGAGCAUCUCCAAAAGCCUUUCUAAAUCUCACUGUCUAAAUCAUCAUUUGGAGAGCCAUUUGCAUAAAAAUCGUUUUCUAUAUUUUUUUCACUCUCCAACAGUUUUGCUAAAUCUCAUGCACACUCUAGAGAGUCAUUCUUGUCUUCUAUAUUUGGCUAGCGAAAAAUUCAGAAUAGACAAUGUCUAUAUUUGGAUGACCAUUUAGAGAAGGAGGGUAAUUUUUCAUCAGAAUCUCUAUUCCUAGCAUUUAGAAAGAAUAUAUAGAGUCUCUUGGAGAUGCUCUUAUAUUGUUCUCUUAGUUUUUUUAGCUGUGUCAGUUGCUUCUUAUUCCUUUGGGCGUUCUUCCUGCCUGACAAGUGUAGAAUAAUAGUGUUUUUUUCUUGCGUAGAUUACCAAACCCCGCCAAAAAAAGGACACAGAAGUGUCAAGAUUUUCCUUGACAUCUGUAUCAUGAAAUUUGCAUAACCACCGUCCAUGUACUGCUGCCUGAAUGACCUGUAUAAAUGACACUGACAACUAUAGUGGAUAUCUUUAAGGAUAUAUUGUUGACCUGGCUUCUUUGUACCAAUGCAUUGUAAUUUGUAACCAUGUCGCUGGCUUGCUGUUGCCAGUGAACAGUUCUAAAGUGCUGUGACAGGGAUAAUAUGUUGAGACCACCAGAUAACUGGAACCGAUCAGAAAGUGUAUAUACUGAACACUGGCAUUAGAAUUCCACCCACCUAUGCACGAAAUAACCGUUUACGCAGUGACAGGCAUAGUUGAACUGCACCAGAUGACCUUUUUGUGCUUCAAGCCUAGGCAAGGUACCAAAUCCAGGCAAAAGAAAUUGAACUAACAUUAUCAAAUGAAAUAGUUUUGUUUAUGCUUGCAAGGCUAAUAGUCAACUGCAUACAAGGGCCUAUAAUACUGAUAAGCGAUCCUGGAUCUCAACAUUUGCAAUGGAAUAGUAAAAACAACAAAAUGUAGAACCACCACACAUAACAAAAUUAAUUUGGCACAUCAGUAAGCAUGAGGAUAGGAAUUUCUACAACCAAACUGUAUAAGAGUGAGUAGUAACGGCUAUUAGGGAUAUGUGCAUUCUGAAAUCACAAAAUCAAAUCAAUUCCUGUACACAAUUAUUAAAAUAAGUGCUAUUCAAAAUCCUGUACGCAAGCAUGAGACCCAUCAAUAAUGACAACAACUCAGCGCUAUACUUCCAACGCUGUGCACCAGUAAAGCAGUCUGAUUUCUGGUCAGCUUAUGAAUGUCAUAGUUAUCAUAAUAUUAACAAAUUAUAGCUUCAAAAUUUUAUAGCAAGAGUGAAACGUAAAUAGAUAAGUAUCAUUUCGGUUCUCGAUUUUUAUGAAUACUUGAUAAUUUUUUUCUCCCGUUGCAACGCACGCACACGUUUGCUAAUAAAAAGUUUAAAUGGAGACGAAUGGCUUUACUUUUUAGUAUGGAGUAUAUAUAGUAAAUAAAAUAAUAGACUUGUCGUCUUCCCUCAAACCCAACUUGAAAUAUGUUCGAGGCCCGGCCUAAAAUCAAGUACCUCGAGCCCAACUUGUGUUCGAGGCCCGGCCAAAAAAUCAAGCCUGCCAGAGAGCUCGUUGACAGCCCGCUGCCCUCAGGCUCAGCUCACAGCUCACCUCCUCUCUCUUCUCGACUCCUCUCUUCUCCGUCUCCUCCCGAUCCCGGUCGGGGGAAUUUGUUGGGGGAGAAGAAGCGAGGGGGAGAGAGCUAAACUAGGGUUCAGGGGAUUCGGGGCCGAGAGGUGCACGAUGAGCAUCGUGCCCAAGGAGACGAUUGAGGUCAUCGCUCAGAGCGUCGGCAUCCCCAGCCUCGGCGCCGAUGUCGCCGUCGCGCUCGCCCCCGACGUCGAAUACCGCCUCCGCGAGAUCAUGCAGGUCAGGCCCCGCCCCCCUUGCCUAGGGUGUACUUGUUUAUGAUGUGAGAAUUGAGAUGGAAUGUUGAGGGCUGCAUGAUGGGAUAAACUUGUCAAGUGAGAUGGUGUUUGUUUUUCGACUGCUACAACUGGUGGAAAAGUCUUUUUUUUUAUUUUUUUCAACUGAUAAUUCGAGUUAUGCUACUUAAUUAGUUGAGCGCAUACAAUUCUUUCCCUUUAGGGAUGUAGAACUUAGUUGGACAUCAUAAUUUUGUCAAAGUACUAGUGGGGUUUGAUACGGAAGACUGUCCUACGGCCAGAUAUUUCAUUAGCUAGUGUUUUUCAUAAUUCAUUUCUUUGUGGAUACUGUCUUUUCCCUUUCUGCCGCUUGUGCUAAUUUAUGCUAAACUUAUAAUCACACAAGUCUUCAUGAAACCUUGCAGUUUUACUACUUCUUCUGCCAUUGUGAUGAUCCCAUUUUCUGUGUUUUGCAUCAGGAAUCCAUUAAAUGUAUGCGGCAUGCAAAGCGGACUGUUCUGACGGCGGAUGAUGUUGACAGUGCCCUGGGCCUCAGGAAUGUUGAGGUGAAUUACCUUCCUAUGCUAAAAUUUUUGGAUACUUGCAAUGUAGGCUUAUAUAGGUCCACUAUGGAAAAAGUCUACAUCACCCCCUGAACUAUAGGGUGGUGUCUACUUUACCCCUCGAACUAUGAAACAGUCUAAUUUACCUCUGAACUAUCCAAAACCGUUCAAAUCACACCUCUGAGUGGUUUUUUAUGGCGGUUUUGCUACAGUAACUAUAGUUUUGCUACAGUAAUUGUGGUUUUGACUUUUUCUUUUUCUCUAUUUGUUUUCAUAUAAUCUUUGAAAAAUCAUAGAAAAAAUAUAAAAUAUAAAAUCUAAUUUUGUUGGACUCCGCAUGAGUAGAUCUACGCAAUGAAUAUAUAAUGUGUUAUACUUUAAUACAAAUUUUUUCUAUAAUUUAAAUUAGUUAGAAAAAUCAAUUUUAUCUGUAAUUAAUUGGAAUAAUUCAUAGCUGCAGCUUCUGUGGUCCAAUUGUGGUGAAAUUUUUAUGGUGGACUAAUUAUUCUACGCUUGAACUAUAGUAAAUAUUUCAUACUCAAUGGAUCAUAAACCUAAGUUAUUAUGGUGAAUUAUUAAAGUAGUUAUAUAUUUAAUUAUAUUUAACAAGCAUAAACCUGAAUAACCGGAAUUAACUUAGUUAUACAUGAUCCGAUGAGUAUGAAAUAUUUACUAUAGUUCAAGCAUAGAAUAAUUAGUCCAUCAUAAAAAUUUCACUACAAUUGGACCACAGGAGCUGCAACUAUGAUUUAUUCCAAUUAAUUACAGAUAAAAUUUGAUUUUUCUAACUAAUUUAAAGCUACAGAAAAAAAUUGUACUAAAGUAUACCAUAUUAUAUAUUCAUUACGUAGAUCUACUCAUAUGGAGUCCAACAAAAUUAGAUUUUCUAUUUUAUGAUUUUUCUAUGAUUUUCUAUGAUUUUUUAAAGCUUAUAUGAAAACAAAUAGGGAAAAAGAAAAAGUCAAAACCACAGUAUUGUAGCAAAACCGCUAUCAAAAACCGUCUGGGGGUGAUUUAAACGGUUUUGGAUAGUUUAGGGGGUAAAUUAGACUGUUUCAUAGUUCGGGGGGUAAAGUAGACACCACCCUAUAGUUCAGGGGGUGAUGUAGACUUUUUCCGGUCCACUAUGCACUUGUGAAUUGGUAGCUAAUAAAUUUAGAAUCCUUUUUUUUGUCGUAUUGUUUUUCUGAAUCAUGUUCAGAACUUCCAAAACGUGUAACUACAACCAACUUUUAGAUUUUGAUAAGUAUCUUUAUGGUAUGUAAAUGAUAUUCAACUUACGACCUCCACUUGCAUAUUUGGUUCAGUAAACAAUCGAACAAGUAGUUUUUGGAGGAUGAUUCCAUGUAUUUGUUAUCUCGAAAUUCCAUCUCAGAAAUCUUUAGAAAAAUUGGUUUUUGCUUUACUGGUACAUAGUUGUUUUUACUACAGUUGUAAUAUUGGUUCCUCAGUUCAUAGAUGUAAUUUUCUGACUAGAAUUUUCUCAGCAAGUAAAGCUCUUUGAUUAGCUUCUUUUUGUUGAAACUGACUGCCUUAUGCAAUUUUUCGUCAUACUUUUAUAUUGAAGAGUGUCAAAAUUCCUCUGCUAGACCUUAUUUUGUUUGAACUGACUCUGCUGUUUCAUUACUAUGGGUUCUCAAUCAGCCUGUGUAUGGAUUUGCUUCUGGUGACCCAUUGCGUUUUAAGAGAGCUGUUGGGCAUAAAGAUCUCUUCUAUCUUGAUGAUCGGGAGGUAGACUUCAAAGAGGUAGGGGCAAUAUUAAUGAUUAUUAAAUUUUCGUACCACUUAUUUCAAAAUCAUUAAUUUGAAAUGUUUCUUCAUGGUUGGUGUUAUGCAGAUUAUUGAAGCUCCUCUGCCCAAAGCCCCACUGGACACAUCAGUUGUAGCCCAUUGGCUAGCGAUUGAGGGGGUACAGCCUGCAAUACCGGAGAAUCCUGCUAUUGACGGUUUGCUCUUUUUGUCCAGAGAUUUAUAGUCCUUUUCUCCUUGGCAAGAUGUAGUUACAUUCUUCUCUAAUAUUGAGAGAAAAAACACUUGUUGUGACAAAUAGCAUUUUAUUUCAGCAAUUGUACCACCAACUGAAAAUAAAAGGUCUGAGCAUGGUAAGGAUGAUGGACUGCCAGUUGACAUCAAGCUUCCUGUUAAGCAUGUAUUAUCUAGAGAACUACAGGUACUUUGAUUAUGAUACUGUGCAAUAUUGCUCAUAUAUUUCCAAGAAACUUAUAUACCUCUUCACUAUUUGGUUUUGCAGAUGUACUUUGAUAAAAUAGCUGAGCUUACUAUGAGUAGAUCUGAUACAUCCCUUUUUAAAGAAGCUUUAGUGAGCUUGGCAAAAGAUUCUGGUCUUCAUCCUUUGGUUCCUUACUUUUCCUACUUCAUUGCAGACGAGGUUGUACAGUAGCUUUCUUGCUUUUGGUGUUAUUUUCUUGAGAUGGAAUUACUUAAGUGUGUAUCCAUCUGAAUUUCAGGUUACCCGGAGUUUGGGUGAUCUUCCUGUUUUAUUUGCUCUAAUGAGAGUAGUCCAAAGUCUUCUCCGUAAUCCACAUAUUCAUAUUGAACCUUAUGUAAGUGGUAAACCAUAAAGUUUUGAUAGUUCAUGUGUGUGACUUAUUUUUUAGUCAUUUUGGAUAUUCUUUUCAUCAUAUUAGUCCUAAAUUAGCAAUAUUUGUCUUGAUUUGUAGUUGCACCAGCUGAUGCCAUCAAUGAUCACUUGCAUUGUUGCAAAAAGGCUAGGGCAUAGGCUCUCAGAUAAUCACUGGGAACUUAGAGACUUCUCUGCCAAUUUGGUCGCCUCGGUAUGUCGGAGGUGAGUGAUAUGUGAAGGGUGUCAGUAGGUCCUUUGUAUAAUUAUCAAAUUUUAAUUCAAUUACAUUUAUGAUUUCAACUCCUUGGUCCCAUAUUAUACUCUUAAAGAACAGCUCAUAUGAAAGGUGCCCAUGAAAGUGCUUUAUCUUAGUUAUUGCUAAAAUGCUAUCUUAUCGACAGGUUUAAGAUGAAGGUCAAUUCAAUAAUAGUUUGACCACCAUUUCAUACUCUUUCUUCCAUAUAUAUAAGAUUUUAUUACUAUUUUGUGGGAUCUUGCUAUAUAUGACAUGAUCAGUUUCAUGGCAACUUACAUCUUCUUUAGCGGAGAACAUACCAAUAAACCAUUGCAUGGCUUUGCGGCUUUGCUACUGAGUACACUACAUAUUGUGUUCCUUUUAGAGACCAAAUGGUAAAUAAAUAUUUUCACUAUGCUGUGUGUGGACAGAAGAUUUAUUUCAGUUCUAUCUUCAUGCAUUUGUUGGGCGGGUCAUGACUUGUUCGUGUCUUAUGUGUUCCCCAUAAAUCCAUUUUCUUUUGGAAUUGAUAGAUCCAUAGCCUUUUGCAUACUCUGCUCAUGGAGUGUGAGUCCUUUUCUAAAUGAUAAUCUCUAGCUCUCUUUGCUAAUUGGUCUUUUCUGUAUGUAGUAAUUGGCUAAUUGCCUUAAUAAUUUUCUCAUGACAUUGUUGAUCAACUGAAGAUUAUCGUUUUCAGGUUUGGUCAUGUCUAUCACAACCUUCAAAAUCGGUUAACUAAAACAUUGAUCCAUGCAUUUCUUGAUCCUGCCAAAUCACUGACACAACAUUAUGGUGCUGUUCAAGGGAUAUCUGCAUUGGGUCCCAGCGCGGUAGAUCCCAUUCAAAACUCACUUUUUGUAUUAGUUUUGCACUGGCUGAUGUUUUUUUCUGCUUGCCAGAUUAGACUUCUUCUUUUGCCCAACCUUGUAACAUAUAUGCAACUUCUGGAGCCGGAACUGCAGCUUGAGAAGCAGAAAAACGAGAUGAAAAGGAAGGAAGCUUGGCGUGUUUAUGGUGCCUUGCUGGUGAGUUUAGAGUUUUCAGUCAAUAUAAUGUUUUCUGUAUUUUGGUUCACCAACUAAUUCCAAGCAAAGUCUCUCACCACUGGGAUGCAUUUUUUAGUGUGCUGCAGGCAAAUGCUUGUAUGAUCGGUUGAAAUUAUUUCCUGGUUUGCUUUCUCCAUCGAUGCGGCCUCUUUUACGGAGCAACAAAAGGGUCUCAACCAACAACCCAAGUAAGUGUUGAAUAUAAGCACACUAUCAGUUGAAUAUAUGCCAGUAGACACAUGUUGACUGGCGGUUAAGUGCCAAAUGGUCCUUGCUGUCAGCAGUUGAAUUAGUAGAGUUUGAAAGUAAAGAGUAUGUUGCGCUGCAAAUUUCAGAUAAGCGAAAAUCUAGCACAAAUCUCUCUGCAACUCAGCCACCUCUGAAGAAGAUGGCAACAGACGCAACAGCCAACUCCAUGGCCUCAGCUUCCAUGGGAGGAAACAUGCAAGGUGCCAUGGAUGGCUUUCCUAACCAGUUAGCCAACCCUGGCAUGAUGCAGGCCUCGUCCUCUGGCCAGAUAGUGGAGAGCAUCCCAUCAGCUGUGAUCCGGAGAGAUCAGGGCAGUGAUCUCGCACAGAGAGUUUCUGCAGUGCUUAGGCAAGCUUGGAAGGAGGAUCAGGACACCGGUCAUCUCUUGGGGUCUCUGUACGAUGUCUUUGGUGAAGCCAUCUUCUCCUUUGUCCAACCACCAGAGAUAUCCUUGUUUGUGUAGAGAGGAAAUGCAUAGGCGAGGGUUUCAUUAAUCUACGCUAUUGUAGGGAUAUUUUGCAGAGUUCACGAAGCGCUAUAAUGUAAUGCCAGCUGUAGUUUACUCAGUACUGCAUGUAUUUGUAACAUAUUCCAGUUAUGUAUACUAUGUUGCAUAGCCUGCUGCUGCUGCAAAUUUACAACUGUAUGUUACUGUAGCUAGAACUAGAGCACCUGCAGCAGCUGUGGCGUUAGGCGUUAAGCAGAAGCGAACAGUUUCAAGUAUGUCUAUCUACAUGCAUUUUGUGGUGGCGUUAACAUUCAGGUGGCAUAGUUUGCUUUUGUAAGUGCUUACUCUUCAUCCAAAAUAAGGACACAGUUAACGCGUGACCUGUUGUGCACUAGGACGUGACCUUGUUCAUCUUCCACCUUAGGCAUCCGCCUCUGUCUCUGCCUUCCUCACCUGCUGUUCCUAGCUAGUGGUUGGGUUGCCCCACCACUUGCCCUCGUCACCCUCCUUGUCCUCAUCCCUGUUGUCAGCCAUCGCCCCGCCAUGGGCGUGCUAGAGAGCUUCGGUGAACCCUAGCGCGCUAGUGGUGGUUGCCUUCUUCCCCCCCUCCUGCGAUGAUAAGCUCUUGUCGUGGCUACCUUCCUCUUCUCCCCCCCCCCUCCUACGAUGAUAAGCUCUUGUCGUGGCUACCUUCCUCUAGCCAUGGCAUCCCUGGCCCUCCUUGGCUUGGGUGCCUCCACCACCAUCAGGGCCCAAACCGUUCAGCCUCCUUCCUUGCUGCCUGGGCGGUCUACCUCUCUAGGGCCUCUUCCUUCUAAGCUCACUGGAGUUGGCUUCCUUCUCCCUCUCUGGUGACCUCCUCGUCGUCUUCGACAAGCUUCUCGUCGAAACCCUAUGUGACUUCUUCCUCUCUGCACGUGUAGAGCUCGCGGUGAGCACAGGAGGGAGGAAGAGAGGCGGUGGAGGAAGGAGAAGAAUGCGGGGAGAAGGCGAGUGCGAGGGCGACUGGUUGCGCAUGCCUACCGCGUAUUAGAGUUUGCGCUAAAUAAGUGCCAUUCUAGUCUUGUAUGCUUGUCACAAAAUAAACGUCAUUCUCACACAUUUUUCUUCUUCCAAUUCAUCUCUGUUUUCUCUUCUCCAAUACAUUUCUAUCUUUUCCGUUUCCUGAAAUUGACCUGCACUGAUCCCUUGAUGUGAGGAACAGUGGCUCAGAUUUAUGAUGUAAUAUCACAUCCUUUCCAGGGUCUUGCAUGAAAAAUGACCGGCUAAAACUAAAAAAAAAAAACAUGUACGUGACGAUAUGAGCCCCUCGCGGGUUUGGUUCCCUCCCUUAUCCUAUUUCGCUCAUGGCGCUUCUCCUGCGCCUCGCUGCUCCGUCAGCGCCGCCCCGGCGGAGCUCCGGCGGCAGGGCUUUGCCGCGCGUCGUCCUCCCGGAGGCCAUUUCCAGUGAGUGCCACCCAAGUCCUCCUCCGUCCGUUUCCCUCUUUUCCUUGCAUGGCCAUUCCCUCUUUUUCUUUGGAAUUUGGUCUAAUACCUGACUACCUGUAGACGUGCCACGCCUCAAUUUCUCGUGGCCUCCGUUCCUAUCGUUUCACGCUGGCUUAUCCAAUCCAUUGCUCCUCUGAGCAGCAGUUACCUCCAGCCCGUGUGCUCUUCUGGUCUCUAUCGCCUCCGAACUGCUGCGCACCGGAGCUGCUCGACGAAAUGCUCGUUGCUCGCCAUCUCCUCUCUACUUCGGUUCUUUCUGUUUGUUGUACUUGUGCGUGUGCCACUGAAUGUUACUGCAAGCUGCUGGUCUGGUGCUCAGUGCUGUAGUCGUCACAGUGAGGUUUCUAUGAAUCGCAGUGAUAGGAGCUUUAGGGACUCUGAAAUCUUGCGAGAGUGCGAGACGAUGUCUCAUGGGCCAUUGUGUUUUGGUUGAUCCAUUUUCCAAUGGCUGCCUGGAGAUGUGUUUGAUACCAGGUUCACAACUUCAAUAUAUAAUCUCAAAGUCAGCGUGUGCGGGGACUGCCCAAUACAGCCUUUAUUUUUUAAUCUUGUUUGGGCAGAUGACAACUCUUGGCAUCCAGAUCCUUUCCCCCAUAACCUUUUGUUAGUGAUGAUAAUUUGGUCUGAGAGAGGGCCUGUUGUUAAACAUGUCGACGAUUAACUAGUCUUAGCAAGUUUUUCUUGCUCUUUCUUGUGAUGUGAGAGAAGAGGGCAGUAUUAUCCUAAGAGGUGUUGUUUGACUUCAGUAUAGCUGUGCUAAUGCUUAGCUAGGUGCUUUUGUUAUUGUGAGGGGCUCUUAUGCAAUAUGCACUCCCUUUAAAAGGAAAUACAGCUUUGACCUUUGAAUAGCCUCCAUUCUAGAACUUGCUUCUAUCACGUAUUCACGUCCACAUCUCUCCAUUGCUACAUAGCAGCAUAUAUCUCUGGUUACUUGCACUAUGCGCUUAAAGUGAGUGCUUUUGUAACAAAAUCACUCACUUUAAGUUUGUAAAUUCUUUGUUUGCCUAGAAGAGUAUUGCCACUUGGUCUUUAAUGUUUCAUCCUUGCUUUGUGGUUCUGCCUGAAAACCAGGAAAGAAAAAUUCCAUCUUUUUGUUGCCAUUCCCAUGCAUGUAUUAUUUCCAUAGGAUCACAUUGUUAAGUUAAUAUGGUCAUUGUAUUGGGUAGAGUUUAACUUUACACCUGUUUAGUUAAUUUAAUGAAGUAUUUGACAGCAUUAAGAAUGUGUAAGUUAGUGCUCAUUUUUGUGUUUUUUUCUAGAAUGUGAUGUCACUACUGAUCAUGAUUAACCAAAUUUAUAAUCCAUCUUUCUGACAAAGUCAUUGCAAUACUUACACAAUGUCAUGCAAAAUUUUACUCUAGGUAACUAAUUCACUUUUUACAUGCAGAACAAUCAUUUCUUCUUCCUUUACGAGUUGACAACACUGCAAGUCUGUCCUGUCCUAUUAAGUGUUCAGCGGCUCGGCAUGCCCCAUCACUGAUUGAUCACACCGAUUCUAGGAAUGGUGGCAUCCAUGCAGCUAGUGUAUAUGGACAUGAUCUCAUGAAAUCCAUAUCUGAUCUUCAGGUAUGAUGGUGAGUCCCUUUCUCUAUUUUUAGCAUGUAUCACCUGUUAACAUAAACAACCCUUUAAUUUAAAAUAAGGCAUAAGGGGACUUAACUUUUCCUAAUAAUUAAAACUAACCUAGUACUGUCUUAUUGAACACAGCUUAAAUUUUUCUCCUUGCAAAUUUUGUAUGGAAACCUCAGCUAUAAUAACUCAUUAUUUUCUUAUACUUGUCGCAGGAAGUUGUAUUUUCUUCUUUUAGCAAAGCAUGUCUUCUCAGUAGUUGUAUCAUAUAUGGUCUACCACCCAGUUGUAUAGCAGAACCAUGUGAGCAAGCAUACUCUCUCCCUAACAUGCCUUUGCUAUUCGCGAUAGCCAUGGUUGGUGCUACUGUUGGAGGUAAGCUCAUCACACUCUUAACUUAUAAGAAUCUUUCAGGCAUAGAACGUUGGUUGGAGCUUGAGAACUGAUUGUGGAUUUAAAGAUGACAAUACACAGUGGACGGUUUCCUUACUUCUGUGUUUAUGUUUUUUAAUGGUCAUCAACAUCAUAUGUUGUUACAAAUGAUUUAAAUAUCUGAGCAUUAAGAGCACACACUAAAUCACUUCUAAUUCCAUGGAAAUGCAAGAGCAUGCUAUGCACUCUUGCAAGUUAAUACUUGUCAAACACAACUUUUUUAUGUUUGAUUGCUUCUUCCCCAGUUUCUUAUUUAGCUGUGCAUUUUGUUAAAUAUAAAACAUUAUACAUAGGAAUGCAUAUUCAGAUGCAACAAAUGCAGAGUGCAAAGAAAAUUACAUUUAGGAGCAUCCUAGUUAUCAUACCUAUGUUCGAUUGCUUUUUCCCCAGUUUCCUUAUUUAGCAGUGCAUUUUUGUUAAAUUUAAACAUAAUACACAGCAACUGAAACAGAUGCAAAUGCAAAUGCAACAAAGAAUGAAUGCAAAGAAAAUUACAUUUAGGAGCAUCCUAGUUAUCUUACUGAUUACCUUCCCUGUUUCUUUUAACUAUAACUGGGUUGUUGAUUUUGCAUGCAUGGUUUCUGCAUCAUGUUGAACAAUUCAGAUAUCCUGUAGGGCUCCUUGCGAGACAGAGGAGAGGGGAGCUUGCACGUCUAAAUGAUCAAUUACGUCAGAUAAAUGCUGCACUGAGAAGACAAGCCAAGAUUGAAUCUUAUGCUCCUGCCUUGAGCUAUGCCCCAGUUGGUAGUAAGAUACCGGAAUCAGAAGUUAUUGUUGAUCCUCAGAAAGAGCGCCUAAUUGCAUAUCUCAGGACUGGGAAGAACUAUCUGAGAAACCAAGCUCCUGAGAAGGCAUUUCCUGAGUUUAAGGCAGCUCUUGAUCUUGCACAAUCUUUAGGUGAUCAUGUUGAAGAGAAGAAGGCAGCACGAGGAUUAGGUUUGUUCAUUAUUUUGUGAAAUUAUAGUUUCAUGGUUUGGUUUCACAGAUAGUUUCAUGGAAUUGUGAGAAUAUUCCUUUUUUGAUUUGGUUAAAUGCUACAUAGUAUGCAGGAGUACAAGUUCAAAAAUGUUAACGAAGGAAAAUAUUUUCAGGCAUGUUUAACCAAGUUAAAAAUUGAUCAUAUAAACAUAAUAGAAUUGUUAGUGUGUCCCCCAUUAAACUUGAAGUUCUUUCCCCCCUCACCAUACAGCAAAAAUGCAAACCACAGACAGUCUGAUGUGUUUGUGAAAAGUAACGAAGUUGCUUUGCAUUCGCCAGGGGCAUCCUUGCAAAGACAAGGCAAGUACAAGGAAGCCAUAAAUUAUCACUCCAUGGUGCUAAACAUCUCCAAGAUGACCGGAGAGGAUGCAGGUGUCACUGAAGCAUACGGAGCAAUAGCAGAUUGCUACACCGAGCUUGGUGAGCUCGAGAAGGCAGGCAAGUUCUAUGAUAAGUACAUAGCAAGAUUGGAGAAUGAAUGAGAACAACAGCGCUGAUCGGAAAAAUCUGUGAGAGCAAAGACAAAGAUAAUGCUAAUCGUGUCUCUAUCUUUUUUUUUGCUUGCCAUGUAUUCUACUGUAGAUGUGCAGUUCCCAGCUGGAACUGAUGUUUGCUAUCACGACUCGAGUUUCUUUUUGGCGGAAUUAUCUAAGAUGUUUAGGUACAGAUCAGUAUCAUGCCGUGUACGUAGUUGUUUUGAUAAUUAGUGGCUCAAAUGGUCCGUACAUGCACUCUUGUCAAUGUGCUAUUUUGUGCUGGUUUAAUUUUGUAGUUUUGCUAUAUCAUGCCCUUGGUGAAAAUCUUUCCUCCUACUCAUGAAUAGGCUUUCCGUUUCUUUUCCUUUUUUUCCUUUUUAAAUAACGUACAUGGAAUAAAAGUAAGAUUCCAGUGAAAUUUUUCCCUCCCACAAAUCAACUUUAGUUACUCUAAAUUUACAUUUAACUUGUACUAGAGUUCAAUGUUUUAUGAUCGUCCGAUUAAUCAUGAUUAAUCAUUCUUACAGGUACUUAGCAUUUCUUUAGGGCUUCCGAUUCGAUUAGAGUGAUUAGAAACCUAAUCGUUUGAUUAAUCAUGAUUAAUAAUGAUUAAUUGUUAAUUAAUCGUGAUUAAUCGUCGAUUAAGUCUCUUGCCCAAUUAGAGCUUAAUUGGCAGAUGGGCUGCUUUUGGCCAGGGCUAAAUUUAUUUUGGCUAGACCUAUUAGAGUUUCUCUUAUAUACCUCACCUCCACUUUCUCUCUCUCCUUAGUUCUUACUCUCAACUCUAGCCGUUAGCUGCUGAGCUUGUUGCUCAUGCAUUUGCUGAGCUGCUGAGCCUGUGUGCAUCUCACUCCCUCCUCUCUCCCUUCUAGUUUCAAUCCAAGCAACCUGUUGCUGCUUGCUGCUUCCUCCUCCCUCUUCCCUGCUGUCUGCUUCCUCCUCCCCCUUGCUGCAACUACAACUAUAUACAUAUAUGAUAUAGUCAUGCUAUGUGCUAGACGAUUAGACCGAUCAGAGGUUGAUUAAUCGUCCUGAUCGGUACCAGACAGAUUAGAAACGAUAAGCCGAUUAGAAAAAAUUGUUAGAGUUAAUGUGGUUGUUUUGGUACAAUUUCAUGAUAUGUUUGGGUGGAAAGUCGCCUAUCCCACACUACAAUUUUAGUUAAUGUCAACUUAUGUUAGAUUUACACUCAACUUGUACUAGAGUUAUGGUGAUUAUUUUGCUGUAAUUUCUAGAUAGAAUUGGUGUAGGCCUUGUUUAGUUCCUAAAAAAAUUUGCAAAAUUUUUUAAAUUUCCUGUCACAUCAAAUCUUUAGACGCAUGCAUGAAGUAUUAAAUAUAGACAAAAAUAAAAACUAAUUGCACAGUUUGGUCGAAAUUGACGAGACAAAUCUUUUGAGUCUAGUUAGUACAUGAUUGGAUAAUAUUUGUCAAAUACAAACGAAAGUGGUACUAUUCCUAUUUUGCAAAAAAAUUUGGAACUAAACAAGGCCUAACUAAAAAAUCUGACUAUGGAGAAUGAAUAUUUCACCCAAUUCUUAAAAAACACAUUUAAUAUAGGUGUGAAACUUCUCUAAAACCUUUUUCCCCCUUAUAACAUGUUCAAAAACUAGUAGAGAAGUUUCACCUGAGUAGUCUUUGGCAAUCAAAGAUACGUGGUCAGUAAACUGGACUUUGACAUUCGGAAAAUUGAACUUGAGUGUUGGCAACUUUUCAAGUUUCAACAUGUGUGCUUGAAGAUGCGCUUGAUCAAAUUUCAACAAAACUAAAUACACAGUAUUCCUAGGACCGUAAAUUGAUCAUUGUUAUGUAACAUCCAAAUAAAUAAAUAUAUCUCAUUAGUUAAUUUGAUAUGCGUGAUCUUAGCUACUUCCCAUUCAUUAAGUUUAUCCCCCACUAGAGCUCUCCAGAAUGAAAUAUUUAAUGGUGUUGAUCUCAUAACAUUGGUCACUCUAUCAUGCGGAUCUAGAGCUCUCUGGAAUAAAAUAUUUAAAGGUGUUGAUCUCAUAACAUUAGUCACUAUAUCAUGCGAACGAUUUGCAUAAUAUUAUAUAGUGUGGGAUAAAGGUCUUUGAAUGGCGGUUGCCUUCCAUUAUUAAUUUUGAAGGAACCAUAAGCCAAAGUCUGAUCUUUUAUUUUCAUAAGACCCUUCCAAAAAUGAGUGUAGGAGAGAUUUUGAGCUUAGAUACUUGUCUCUAAGCAAGGGCACCACCCUUUUACGCGGCAACUUUGGAACGAACAUAGCUCAAUGUCAUGUUUCAUUGUAGUUUUUUUUAUUAAAAUGACAACACAUUAAUAGAACUACAGGGAUGCAAGGAAACCAGUGCUGUGAAAGUCCGGAGAAAAAAAUAAGUCAAAACAGGAAAACGGAAAAAGAAAAUAGCACGGGACACUCUGCAUAGAGCACGAGACAGUUGAUCUGAAGUUGUGGCAAAUUAUCGAGGAGAUCAUUAGGGACUAUAAUAUUUUGGCGCAAUUUUCCAUUAAGUAUAGGAUGUGUCAGUGUUUUUUUUUUGCUUGUUUCGAGAGUGGGUUGUCUCACUCUCGCAAGUAAGUAGGGAUGAAAACGGUACGAAUAUUUUUCGACCGUAUUCGAGACUAAAUUUAUUUAGAGGGGUUUAGAUCUGUUUGUAUCUGAGUCCGAAUAUUCAACAUCUGAUACCAUAUCCGUAUCUGAAUACUUAAAUCGUAUAUUUAUGAUGUCGAUAUCCAAUCAUAUCUUAUCCAACAUGGUUGACAUUAUCCGUAUUCGAAUCUAAAUCUGACCAAAAAUAUGAAAACAAAUAUGAUAUCAGUGAUAUCCGUCCGUAUCCGAUCCAUUUUCAUCCCUACUUGUAAGUUUCAAGUAAUUGUUCACAAAAGAGAACAAGGACCGGACUGUGCAACAAAAAAGUGCAGUGGCACGGACAAUCAUAUGAAAUCUUAUGUAAGAUUUUUUUCCUUAUCUGGUACAUUUGGAAGGCUCACAAUGACAAGAGGUUUCAGCGGAGAACAUGGACAUCUCACCAGAUCCAACAAGCAGCAAAUGCCCAUAUAAACUCUCACUUGGAUGCUCUAAAUGAACAGACCCUCUCUCAUUUACAUAAUUCCCUACUUCCUACUCAUAACAGAUAUGCAGGAACACAUCAAGGAAGCCACCAAUCGAUCUCGGCGACAGACCAACUACUGGUUUGUUCUCUAACAUCUAUUGCAGGAAUCCGGUGCUAUACAGAUGCAUCGACGACGCUAGACACUACUGCAUCGGUUCCUAGACAGGUGGGUCUAGGAAUUUUCAUCAUCAACACUGAUGUACAACUACCACUAAGCAUAUUCAUCAAAGCCACUAUGCAGGACUCUUCUUCAGUGAUCAUGGCAUAAUCUGCUGCUAUGGUAUUGGUAGCAUAACUGCUCAAUCAUCUCCAAGGUCAUCAAAAGACGCUAUUGUCGGAUUCCCUAGUUAUGAGAGAUAGAGUUUCCUCUCGGGGAGGGAACUCUAUCGGAUAGAUAUUUCUAGUUAGAAUUCAUAAUCUAGGUAUAACACUGUAGAGGAGAUAUACUUCCCUCUGGGAAAGGGUAGUAUAUCGAUAGGUAUAGAGAGGGAGAGUUUGCUUUCGGGAAGGGAACUCGACUGGAGUCCUAGUAGGAGCAUAUGGUAUGACACAAACAGGGGUAUUUUUCUUGAGAGAUUUGCCCCAAAACGCGAUUUUGGGGCUUUCAGGUGUCAUAUCAUUAGGGCAUUAACAAAGAUGUGCUACAGCGCAUAUUUGUUAAUAAGCUUAUUGGCUUGAUUUCUUCUUCGAAGAAAUGCCUACGCGUACGUACACGCGUAUGUGUACCUAUGUGCGCGUAUGAUCUAUAUACGCGCACGUCCGUGCGUGCGAUCUAUAGACGCACGCGUACGCCUGCGCGCAUUACUACUUACGCACGCGCGCUAGACUCACUCUGUUCGCAAUAAUCUCCCUACGGUCAAUUAUUGCUCACUCCGUUCGUCUGCACUCUGCUACGCUUCGGUAUAGAUAACCUUCCCUGACAGGAAAGAACAUCUCUACCUACGCUACGCUAUAGGAAGGGAGUGCGGGGCGCCGCUCCCUUCCGUCAAUAGAGCUUAUUUUUCAAAAAUACUAUCAUCGAUUUUCCUGCCAGGGAAGUCGAUGAGAGGAUUUUCAAAGUCAAGUUUAGGGUUGAUGGAGUUUGACUGAACAUUUUGAUGAAUCCCCAAAAGGCCGUAUCAAAUGACAUUAGUCUGAGUCCAUCUUCCCUUGCUAUUGACGUAUAGGUAUGCGUAUGCAUGUCUUUCGACACUUAUCCAAGAUUGGAGUAAGCAAUCAUAGCCCAUCCUAUGAUCAUGAUAUGUUUUUCUUGGGAUUUUAUUGUUUUUUCAAUUGGUUAUUGCCAUGGAGAUAUGGUUUCCUGGGAGGGAACCAUAUCGAUAGACAGAUAGAGUUUCCUUUCGGAAAGGGAACUCUAUCGGAACUGAGAUAUGCUUUUCUUGGAGGAGGGAAGCCUAUCGAAGCCGCCCCGCAGGGCCUCCGGAAAUAUAAAUAAUAUCCCCUUUCUUGGUUUAUUUAUCUACCCUUGUAUCCCAAGAUGGAUAAACUAUCUAAUAUAGGUUAGGUAAGGAUAGAGCUAAAGAUUGAUUGGGUAUCACGAACGGAUAGAAAUCGGAGAAGAGUUCUAUCUGUUCGUGGAUAAGAGAAGACUAGUUAUCAGAGGGAAGGGUGGAAUGAAACAAUCCAGGGUCAAACGAAGAUACUUGUUCGCCUAGCCCCAUGUGUAUCCGUAUCCUUCCCUGUUUUGAGAAUCUCAUAUUUCUUCGUAGCACGUGUGUCCUUUGUAUGUUCCGUCGCCUAUUUCUGGAUAAGUAGAUUUUCUACCAACCAAGUAGAAUCGAGAAUCAGCAGCUGAGAAUGCGGGGCACCCUGCUUUUGUCCUCUGCCCGUCUCAUCGCCUUAUGAGCAGUCAAAAUAUAGGUUUUGCUUACAGUCACGUGGUCUGCCUCGUGCUUCUUCGCUUAUUCAAUGCUUUCUCUGGCAUCCUACAACUCCCUUACAUCCCUAUGUCGGCUAUCCACCCUUCUUUACCAAGUGACCGGAAUCCCCUAUACUCCUCCAACGAACUACAAACGUAGGCUUUCAAGGAAUAACUGCUAUUGAAAGGAAGACUCAAAUCAGCAUAUAUCAUUGCUAUUGGAAUGUUUGAGCUGGAAUUCGAAUAUUAACUGAUGAAUGACCGCGGAGAGCUGCUAGAAAGACCAAAAAAAGUGCAUAUCCUUCCUUCCAAAUUUGAUACAUUCCGUGUUACUCCAACAGCUCGUGAACUUUCUAAAUGGAUCCAAUCUCUCCAAUCCUCCUGACUGGAUAAUCAAACCAUAUACUCAGAUCACUGCUACUCUUUUAUCAGGAACAAACUCAGUAGUACACUGGAUUAGAAGAACCCAUAAUCAGAUGGCUGACUCCCUAGCAAGACAGACUUAGUGCUUUACAAAAUAAUCAGAUUGACUAUUCAAGAUUCUUUACUAAUUCUAGUCAUGCUAAUGAUUAUCCCAUUCUUAAGGCAAUCAAUGAUGUAACCAUUAACACUAUAAUGAUCCUAACAGCCUCAUGCUGUUAAUAUAAUUAUGGUUUACUUAUAAUAAAAAAAGAACAUGCAUGUUUCUUAAGAGAAAGACAACAACACAUUCAGAAAACCACCGAGACAGUCAGGUCCAUUCCGAAAACUAUUUUGUGGGUGGCCUGCAAGCUAAGGCCUUGUUUAGAUGCGAAAUUUUUUUGGAUUUCGCUACUGUAGUAUUUUCGUUUGUUUGGGGUAAAUAUUGUCCAAUCAUAAACUAAUUAGGGUCAAAAGAUUCGUCUUCUUCAUGUAUGUGCCGCAAGAUUCGUUGUGACAGAGAAUCUUGAAAACUUUUUUGUUUUAGAGUGAACUAAACAAGGCCUAACAUACGGAUUACUGUCCACUCUUUUUUCAUAAAAAAAAACUGUCCACUCCACUGCAGCUCAACAGGCACGCAGGAUUCAUGUAGCUCGGGUCUUCUUUAAUUUUUUUUCAAGAUUCUUCAUUCUAUCGAAUCUUUAGACGUAUGCAUAGAGCAUUAAAUAUAAAUAAAAAGUAACUAAUUAUAUAGUUUGUCUAUAAUUUACAAAUCUUUGAGUUUAAUUAGUCUAUAGUUAAACAAUAAUUGCACAAUAUAAAUGAAUGUGGUAUAGUAGCUAAACCCGAAAAAUUUCGGGAACGAAACGAGGCCUCAACAGGCGUGAGAUAAAAUGCAGUUUUUUUUUAUCUACUUGCAUGCAUUGGUGGGCAUCAUUAGUAGAGCCACACGCUGUGACAUAAUUAAGGUGCCUGCUUCAACCAAACCGAUGUCCAGAACUCUAAUUUGGGGGAAAGGAAAAAAACUGACAUGUAACACUGUUCAUGCUCUUUGGCCCAGAUUUUACUUCUCUAUGUCGAUAGAUCGAAUUCCACAGCAUGUCAUCAGUAUUAUUCUUUCAAUUCAAAAAUCGUGCUCUAAUUCUCUUUGCACACAAUCUCUGUCUCAUGCACACAUGCAAGUAAAUAAAGAAGAAUUACAUUCUAGAGACAGCCCCAGCUUGCACAUGGUUGGUCAGCUGCCUUCUCAGUAUCUUGCCAGCCGGAGACUUGGGUAUGGAGUCGACGAAGAGCACCUUGCGGAUCUUCUUGUAAGGGGCCACCCUCUUUGCGACGUGGUCUAUGACUUGAGCCUCCGUGACCUUGCUACCAGGCUGCCUGACCACAAGCGCCACCGGUAUCUGCCCUGCCUCCUCAUGAGGAUACCUGUAAACAAAUUCAGUGAAACCAUCAGACGAUAUAUAUAAUAUAACUGAGCAUGUUUUGCAACUCUCUGGCAACGUGUGUGGCGUUGUAGUGGGGACUCACGGCAUGACUGCGGCAUCGAUAACUUCCGGCAAAGACUGCAGGACAAGCUCCAGCUCUGCAGGUGGAACCUGCAGCGACAAAUAUAUACACCCAGUGACCCAGAUCAUCAUCAGUCUGAAACUGCAAGGGUGACAAUCUAUGUGCUUUGAAAACAAGACCAAAUUAAACUGCAAAGUAAUUAACCUGAUAGCCCUUGUACUUGAUGAGCUCUUUCAGCCUGUCCACCACGAACAAGAAGCCGUCCUGAUCAAUGUAGCAAAGGUCCCCAGUCCUAAGCCAUCCUUCAGAGUCAAAACUACUAGCGUUGGCCUCCUCGUCGCCAACAUAUCCUGCAAUUCAUGAGAACAUAUAUUUUUUGAGCUGAAAAAGAUGAGAAAGAACCCCCUCAAAAAAAAUCUGAAUCCAGCUGCAGCGCAGCAUCAGCUUAAUUUAUCAUGCAUGCAUGUUAGGCUCUGGUGGUUAUAUUACCAGUCAUGACGGCAGGCCCUCUCACGAGAAGCUCCCCUUUUUGGCCCACGGACAGGGCAUUGCCGGUGACGUGGUCCACGAUCUUCACCUCCACGUUCUCCGAGACACGGCCGGCGGAACCGAUGCGGGCGCACUCCUCCCGGCUGAUCAUCAGCGAUAUGCCACCAGCCUCAGUUGAACCGUAGCCCUGAAACAAAUGAAGCCACCGAUGCAACUCUCUUCUCAGUUCAUUCCAAAGGAAAACUGCGUGCAUGUUUUCUUGACCGGAUGGCGGUAAAGCCGUAAAGGUCUUUACGAACCAAUGCCUUUUGGACUGUGACAAAUUUUCUUUGGGGCUUGGCCAACAAGAGAGAUGCUCUCUUGGAUGCUCAACCAUCGAUGCAGCUACAGUUAGCUGUUGACUGGGCAGAAAAAAUACGUCUUAUAAGAUAAGCAAAUGAGAGAGGUUGGACCCCAACAACAAACAGAUGCCAUUCCUAUGGCGACCACAUACUAGAUCAAAUAAUUCUCUCUUUCUCUGUUGUCUUACAAUUAAACUAGUGAGUAUUUUUGCUAAAGUAAAGGAUAGAAGAUACAAAAGCUUGACUCUCAUAUAGUAAGCAACAAGCUAGUUAUGGGUGUAGGACCGUCUCUACAAUUUUAAAGACCCUUAUCAAGCAAGAUGGUAAGAGUCCAUUAAACUAGUUUUUCAACACACCCAAUAAAUACUUGUAGGCAAUAUCUAUCCUAGAAAAUAAAUAUACAUAAUGAAAAAUUAGAACAUACUCUGUCCAUCCUAAAUGUUUAUCGUUUUUGCUUUAAAAAACAACUUUGACUAAAUAUAUAUUUAAAAAUAUUAAUAUUUAUGACUCGUAAUUAGUAUCAUUGGAUAAAUAUUUAAAUCUAUUUUUUUAACAAAUUUAUUUACACAAAUAAAUAUUACAUGUAUUAUCUACAAAUUAAAUUAAACUUAUCGACACGUAAACAAUGGCGACACAUUCACCCAAAAAAUCAAAAACAUUUCAUGAUUCCUCAUCAAAUCGAAUCUUUCGGUACAUAUAUAGAGUAUUAAGUAUAGGUGAAAAUAAUAACUAAUUGAACAUCUAAUUACUCCAUAAUUAGACAAUAUUUGUUAAAUAAAAAUAAAAAUGCUAACGUGUCAAAAUUUUAAAACUUUUUCGAUCUACUUUGUACUAAUAUUUGAGUAGAAAGGAAUCAUGCCGAAGCCUAAAAGCUGCACAAAAUGACAAAAGCUAAGCACUCGCAUGUCCAGUCAUCUGCAGCGAGCAACUGUGUCAGGAGCUCCGCAUUGGCAGCAGAGUGGUUAUAGUACAUAGUACGACGGUACGAGUACUACGGCCUUGUUUAGUUCACCAAAGAUCAAUAAAUUUUCAAGAUUCUCUAUCACCUCGAAUCUUUCGACACAUGCAUAAAGCAUUAAAUAUAUAUGAAAAUAAAAAUUAAUUACACAAUUUAAUGCUUCAUGCAUAUUCCGAUUUAAAUGAGCAACGAGGUGGCCAAAAAAAGGCGCAAGAUCAUGAUCAAUGUUGGGUCACGCGCCUGAGCAAAAUCAUUAUUCUCUCGGGGGUUUCCGGAUUGUCAGUUUGAUAACUAGGAUUUGUUUAGUUCACCUCAAAAAUCAAAAAAAUUUUAAGAUUCUCCAUCAUAUCAAAUCUUGCGGCACAUGUAUGAAACAUUAAAUAUAGAUAAAAAUAAAAACUAAUUGCAUAUUUUAUCUGUAGAUCGUGAGACAAAUCUUUUGAUUCUAGUUAGUUUAUGAUUGAACAAUAUUUGCUACAAAUAAACGAAAGUGGUACAAUAGCGAAAUCCAAAAAUCUUUUCACAUGUAAACAAGGCACAAGAAUAGCAGCCCUAGAACGUACGAGUAGUGGAUUCACGAUCAUGAUCAUGAUCAUACUAGGGCUUAGCAGCCCUUAUUUUUUUGGGCUAGUUGGGCUUAGCAGCCCUGAGUUGGUGACAGUUGUGUUAAUCAGCACACGUGACACGCGUUCCGUCCUUUGGAUCAACCGGUGUCCGUCGAUGAUGUGAACCAGAACGCCUCCUGGUCCUCGGCAUGCAUGCGCCUUGUUUAGUUCCAAAAUUUUUAAGAAAAUAGACACUUUUAUUUAUAUUUAAUAAAUAUUGUUGAAUCAUAAACUAAUUAUACUUAAAAACUUUAUCUCGUAAAUUAUAGAUAAAUUAUACAAUUAGUUAUUAUUUUUAUUUUUAUUUAAUAUUUUAUAUAUGGUUCGCAAGAUUCGAUACGACUAAAAAUCUAAAAUUUUUUAUAAAACUUUUUAGAACUAAACAAGCGCAGGCCUCGGUCGUAUCGUAUGGACGGCCACGGUCGACAUGCGUUGGUGGCGUGCGCCUGUUAUUUUUGCCGAUCGAGGGUCCGCUGUACCGUGUACCCAAGUCAGCAGUGGAGCCGACACACUCGAGACUUGUUUAUAUGUAAAAAGUUUUUUGGAUUUUAAUACUACAAUAUUUUUAUUUUUAUUUGAUAAAUAUUAUUUAAUCAUAGAGUAACUAGGUUUAAAAAAUUCAUUUCAUCAUUUACAGAUAAAAUGUGUAAUUAGUUUUAUUUUCAUGCAUGUACCACAAGAUUCGAUAUAUAUGCAUUUCUUUGCAGCGGCAUUUUCGGUUAAUAUAAUAUAUCCACCUCACCUGAUCUCUAUAGUUCAAUUUGAGUCUUCGAUUUAGCAGGGAAUCACAUGCAUACAUUUCCUAGUACUAACUAGUACAUGUCAAUAGCUACUACUCCAUCCAUUCCAAAUUGUAAGUCAUUCUAAGAAUUUUGAAGAGUCAAACUUUUCUAAGUUUGACCAAAUUUAUAUUAUAAAAUAAUAAUUAUUAUGGUACUAACUAAGUAUCAUUAGAUUCUUUCUUAAUUAUAUUUUCAUAGUAUACUCACUUUACGUUACAAAUUUUAGUAUUUUUCUCUAUAAUUUUGGCCAAACGUGAAAAUAUUUUGACUCUCUAAGAUUCUUGAAAUGACUUACAAUUUAGGAUGUAAGGAGUACAAUGCAAGGACCACCUUUGAGAUAAGAGUAGGUAGCUCAUGCCCACCGUGAUAUACUAACUGUGGGGCCAAGGGGCAAUGUAAUGGAUCACCAAAGAAUUGGCUUAUGGUACCUCAUCGCAUAAUAUCUAGAUACGAUUUGAAAUGGAGAGAGAGUAUUAAUUUGUAGGCUAGAUGUUAUUUGGACCCAAUAGUAGAAGCUGGAUGUAUUGAUGGUUUUGUUCUCCACAUUUUAAAGACUACUAUUGUUAGAACAUGUGGGAGAUAGGCAUGUGAGAGGGCAAAAGCACCUUUUAGCAAUCUAUUAACUGUUGUUAGCUAGUUUAGGACAGCUAGUAUAUAAGAUAGUUAUUAGCUGGAUACUUUUAACUAAUAAUUACCUGGCCUCUACUAGAUAAGCAUAUAAUUACGAUCCACCUCAAAAACUACUUAUUUUUAGUAGCUAGCUGGUGGAUCCACACAGGACCUUAAAGACUUGCACUUGUUUUUUCUUUCAAAAUAGGAGUAUGUAUUAAUAUUUCGAGCAAUUUUUAAGGCCUUGUUUAGUUACAAUUUUUUUUGAAAAUCGACAAUGUAGCACUUUCGUUUGUAUUUGACAAAUAUUGUCUAAUCAUGGAUUAACUAGGGUUAAAAGUUUCGUCUCAUCAAUUUCGACCAAACUGUGUAAUUAGUUUUUAUUUUCAUCUAUAUUUAAUACUCUAUGCAUACGUCUAAAGAAUCGAUGUGACGGGGAAUUUGAAAAAUUUUAUAAAAUUUUUUAGAAACUAAACAAGGCCUAAUAAAAGAAAAGAAGAGCUUGAAUGCUAGUAGACGCAUGGUUUCGUACAGUACUAUACUCAAACCAUUAUUACUGCACUAAAACCUGUUUCUCGGAUCACCUUCAUUUAGUUAUAAACCAUUUUAUUCUAGGACCUAGAGCAAGCUAAUGAUAAUGCAGCGACAUCAUCGCCAUACAAGUCAAUUUCGACUAAGUGUAUCAUUUCACAAAGUUCAGUGAUCCGCUAAUUUUUGGCGUUCUUUUCUGGGCAUUGCUCCGUAAUUAAGCGAACAAGAUUUCAACAAAAACCGUCAAUUUGUUUUAUCGUUUUAUUAAAUUCCACCAGUAUAUGCAAUGAUUCGAAUAGAAAUCGACUACUGUAACAACGCUAUCUAGCUCACAUCAUAAUUAAUUACUUGACUGAAAGCGACGACACUCACCAUGCAUAGAUCCACGUUGGGGAACCGUCGUCGGAAACUGUCGGCUGCCGUCCUCGGCAGCGGCGCGCCGCCACACACCACGCGCUCCAGUGCCUCCAGGCGGCACCGCUCCUUGGCCAUGGCCACCACCACCGGUGGCGACGCCGUCAUCUCAGCGACCGCCCACCUCUCCGCCGCCUCGACCACCCCCUUCACGCCGCGCCGCGCCACCGCGUCGGUCACCACCACCGUCGUGUGCCCCAGCGCCACACCCUUCAGCGCGGAGUAGAACCCCAGCGAGUGGAACAUGGGCGCGCCCAGCAGCGUCCUCUCGCGACCGUGCCUCGGUUUCCCGAGCACAGCGUGGGCUCCUGCCACCAUCGCGACGAAGCUCCGGUGCGGCAGCGCCGCGGCCUUCACCCGCCCUGUUGUCCCCGACGAGUACUGGAUCACCGCCGUGUCCGACUGCCGCACCUCCGCCAGUCCCUCCUCCCCACGGCCGUCGUUCUGCCUCUGCAGAAAGGAGCGGAAGCGGUCCGAGUCGAGGAGGAUGGUGGGGAGGCCAGCCGGCAGCUUUGCGGUGGUCGCCGACACGGCGAAGGCGACGGACGCGCCCGACAGCGCCACGAGGCGCGCGACCUCGUCCGCGGUGAGCGUGGGGUUUACCGGCGACACGACGGCGCCGAACGAGAGCAGCGCAAAGUAGAGCACCGGGAUGUCCAGCCGCGUCGGCGCGAGGAUGAACGCGACGUCGCCGCGGCCGAGCCGGACCACGGAGCGAAGCGCCCCCGCGAGCGCGCGCACCUGGGACAGGAACUCCGGGAACGAUAGGACCUCGCCGGUGGCGGCGUCGAGGAGAGCCGGGUGCGCGGGGAGCGGGGACGACGUCAGGCGCGAGAAGGCGAACUCCGGAAACGAGACCGGCGCGUCCGGCGGCGGCAGCGGCACCGGCGGGCGCAGGCUACGGAACGUCCUGGUCACCUCGCAGUAGCCGCUGCGGCUGUCCACGCCGCCCGGAGCAGCGCCGUCGGCGUUGGCCGCAGGCGCGGGAGUGGCCAUUUCUUCUCGGCACCUGGUGGUGACUGGUGACUGCGGUGGUUGGUGAUUUUGUCGUGUGCCGUCUUCGGGUUUCAGCUGGGGUUUUUCUUAUAGAGAUCUGUGUGGCAAAAGUGGCAACAGCCAACAUUGCAAGGGGCCAAGCAGGCGCAGGCUGUGUGAUACGGUACAAGCCAGCCACCUAGCCCGUGCUUGGUAGGUGACCUGCAGUCCCGUAAUUACGGACUAGUGACAAGUGACAGCAUUAUUAGGCAUGUUUCUUCUGUUGCUAAAAGUUCUGGAACGCUGGGUUAGGGGUUGCAUCAGUGCAUGCAUACAAAUCCGCCACUAGGGCCUCAUUGUUUUCUUCUUCGAAUUAAGGUCUUGUUUAGUUCACCUGAAAACCAAAAAGUUUUCAAGAUUUCCCGUCACAUCGAAUCUUAUGGCACAUGCAUGAAACAUUAAAUAUAAACGAAAACAAAAACAAAAACUAAUUACACAGUUUAGUUGUAAAUCACGAGACGAAUCUUUUGAUCCUAGAUAGUCCAUGAUUGGAUAAUAUUUGUCACAAACAAACGAAAGUGCUACAGUAUCGAAAACUUUUCACUUUUGGGAACUAAACAAGGCCUAAUAUUCCAAAUCUGCAAGACACGCUUAUCACGUGAUGGGGAUUGGAGUGACAUGAAAGGCAUAUUGUUUCUACCUGCGUAGGUAGAGUAGACUGCGGUGCUGUGCUUCACAAAUCGUGCGUUUGUAGUCACGCUUUAGUUGGCAAAAUGAAAAGUUUUCGGAUACUGUAGCAUUUUUAUUUGUUUGUGAUAAAUAUUGUCCAAUUAUGUGUUAACUAGGCUUAAAAGAUUCAUCUAGCGAUUUACAGUCAAACUGUAUAGUUAGUUUUAGUUUUUAACUAUAUUUAUUAAUUCUCCAUACAUGUGCCGUAAGAUUCGAUGUGACAGGAAAUCUUAAAAAGUUUUUGUUAGCAAAAACAAUCUUAGGAGAUAUCCUCUCUUAGAUUGGCACAUCUAGAGCCCCAUAAAUGGUUAGACGGUCUCUUGACAAACAUUGGCGAAUCGAGGAUUUUGUCUAAGGGCAUGCCGCCCAAAAAAAUUUAUAUGCUAUUUGGUAAAUCCAUUUCAGCAAUUCAGUAAUUAUUGUAAAAUUGACAAGAUAAUUCGGUAUAUAUACACUAAUUAACAUAAAAAGGCUUAAAUUCAAUAAUUAAGUUCAAACCAUCCACUAAGUGUAGUAUAAAUAGUUCAAAAACCAUACUGAUAAUUGAAAUAAGGCAUAAAAGAGAAUCAGAUACUUACAAUAGUAAUUUUAUGACUACUUUAUUCGACGCUUUUAAAGGGACAUAAAUGUCUUAAUUAUAUCAUUUUCAUCUGACAAUCAUCUACUCUUAACAUUGUUUUCACAUAAACCAUUGCAGAAAAUGCAUGUUCAACACUUGCUGUUGCCACAGUUAAAAACAAUACCAAUUUUAGGAGCUCAUAAGCCAUAUCAUAUACGAAGAACAAAGUGAAUCUCAGCUGAACAAUUUUUGAAUAGAAAAUCACCUAGCUGCCGAUGUCGUACCGAACGAGAUCACAAGGACGAAGAUGAUUGGACAAUGAUAGGCCUUGGGAGAUAGUCGACCGCCGACAGCAUGAACGUGAAUGGCGGUUCCGAAAAUUUUGGAUUUCGGUAUUGUAGCAUUUUCGUUUUUAUUUGAUAAAUAUUAUCCAAUUAUAGACUAACUAGACUAAAAAAAUUUAUCUCAUGAUUUAUAGACAAACUGUGCAAUAAGUUUUUGUUUUUGUCUAUAUUUAGUACUUCAUGCAUGUGCCGUAAGAUUUGAUGUGACAGAGAAUCUUAAAAAGUUUUUUAUUUUUGGGGUGAAUUAAACAAGGCCUAUAUCGGGCUAUGGCAUAGGCCACUGGAGUAAGGCCGUGUUUAGUUGCUGAAGUGAAAAAUUUCGAGACACUGUAGUAUUUUCGUUUGUUUGUGGGAAUUAUUGUCCAACCAUGGACUAACUAGGCUCAAAAGAUUCGUCUCGUAAAUUUUGUUGACACCAUUUUUGGCAUGGGUUAAGAUAAUCAAAAUAGACUAAUCGGCAGUAGGGAAAUUGUUGCAUUGUACUGAUAAAAAGUGCCGAUAAAGAUCAAUCGAUGGAAAGUGGUGCCAAUGAAAGAUGAUGAUCGGCGGAAAAAUUCUCUUAGCCUAAAAUCCAAAGUGUUGGUUAAUAAGGUCAGGAUGAUGUUUGUCGAUUCAGGGGUUAUUGCCGAUAGAGCUUAUGGUGCUGUGUUGCUGAUGCCGAUGAGAAAAGAUAUGAAGACUGCUGCUGGUGAAGAUUUUAGCUCACCGAUGGGGUAGGAGCCGAUGGAGACUUCAUCGCGAGUAAGGUGGACAUGGGAAUAGUUAGGUUUCAUUUUCUUCUUUCUAUAUUUGUUAAAGUAUGUCCUAAUGUAAGAGUCUUUUUACCUUAAAAAUUGAGUCCUAGUCUUAUUUGGUUGUAACUAUUUAGACCAGGGUAUAAAUAUAGGCCGAGAGGUGAUGUAAAGAUAUAUCAAUCAAUAUCAAAUACAAGUUUACUCCUAUUUUCGCAUCUACUUUUUGAUGACUUCGUCAAUUUGCAUACUUUUCUUUUUACGAGUUCUCAUCGAUUCGGCGAGUUGCACUCGACGAUCCUCGAGUUUCACGUGAGUACCUCUUGGCCGUGACAUCCGGGUGUAUCGCUGUUGUCGGGACCAAAGUAUUCGAAUUAUCAUCCUUGUCGAUGAACAUGUCAAAUCGACUGGCAUGCCUUGACAUCAAAAUUGGGUAUUAGCCCUUUGUGUUUAUAGAUUUAUUUUUGCAUCAACACAUAUUUUGGCACGCCUAGUGGGACAAGUUCGACAUCAUCAACAUGCUUACCUCUGAGCUCGACGCGGACAACAUCAUCAGCGUGACAAAAGCAGAUCUCAGAGAAGAAUAGAAGCAAGCUAUGGAGAAGGCUAUGGAGGAGUACAGGCAGCUUUGUCUGAAGUUUUUCAGCUUGAACAAGAGUGGGGAAGUCAUCUAGAAGCAAGAUCUGCCAUUGCCUCAGCAGGUUACCUUUGACUCCAAUCCUGGUAAACUUCAAGAGAUGGUUAAUUUUGCAAUUAAUCAUGCUUUGGUUAACCACUCCAAUGUGCUGUCCAACACCAUUUACAACGCCGUCAUUCGAAUCUUCAAAGAGGGACAAGCACCACCACUUUAUGCUGGCCUAGCCUAUCAUCAGACAGGGCUAUCGUCGGUUGUCGCUCCAUCGGCUCCUUCAGCCGUUACGGGUACAGAAGUCACGUCUCCUCCGAGUACGGCAGGUGUGUCUAAUGAUCAAUCUACACCGAUGAGAUCAGAUCCGAUGACUUCAGGAGGGCGAGUUCAACUCAACACAGAUCUAUCGUCAUCAGCUAUGUUAGGGCCUGUAUUCCAAAACAACCAGGUUCCUCCUAAUUGGUGGGGAUAUGGUAUGCCUCCGGAGUUUUUGGCAAAUAAUUCUAGAUUAUCUCAGGCACCUGAUGCAGUAGGGAAGGCUCCCAUGCCAUCGGCUCCUCUAGUCUCGCCAAUGACUCAAGUGCCUCAGCAUUCUACGACAACUAUUGUGUGGCCAGUUGUUGGAAAUUUUCAAAUGCCGUCAUUUCAAGUGCCUAAUGCAAGCUCGUCGGCAAAUCCAUUGCCGACACAAUAGAGAUUCAUAUCUCAGGCUGGGUAUGUUAAUCCGGCAAUGACAGCAAGUUACCAGCCAUCGACAAGUUUUGUGCUGAUGAAUGCCAAUAAUGGUUGGUUAGGACAGUUACCCUUUCAACAUACAGCACAACAAAAUCAUCAAGUUGCAGGGGUUCAGCAAUGUCACAUGCAGGUUGGCUUCUAGAAUCAAGCACCAGCAGCUCAGCCGAUGAAUCUUGCUCAGCAGAUUGGUGGGCCUCAAGCAAUGACUAAUAUGUUGUUUGCUGGAGAUCGUGUGCCACAAAGACACGUGGAAGCAUAUCAAUAGGUGCCAGAGAUUUAGCCGGCACAUCGGCAGGAUGCUGAUGCUUAUUGGGCCGAUAAGAUAGCAAAGAUCAUGAGAGAUCAGUUUGGGAUAAAGCCCAAGGUUAAUACCUAUUCUUAUCGAAUGCCAUAUCCUCCUACAUACGACCUGAUCCCUCUUCUAAAUCGGUACAAAGUGCUGGAUUUUACCAAGUUUUCCGGACAAGAUGACACAUCGACAAUGGAACAUGUCAAUCAUUUCAUUAUCCAAUGUGGGGAAGCUGCUAACAGAGAUGAAUUAAGGGUUCGGCUCUUCUCAUCAUCCUUGUCUAGGUCGGCCUUUACUUGGUUUAUAUCGUUGCCUCCAAAUUCUAUUAUUACUUGGGCCGAUCUAGAAAAAUAGUUCCAUAAAUACUUCUUCUGCGGAGUUCAUGAGAAGAAGCUUAUCAAUUUAGUAAGGCUAAGGCAGCGUAAUGAUGAAUCGGUAGAGAGCUGUGUGCAGAGGCUGCGAGAUGUGAAGAACAAGUGCUAUAGUCUGGUUCUACAUGAUCAACAACUGGCCGAUCUAGCUUUUCAAGGAUUGUUACCACAUCUCAAGGAUAUGUAUGCUUAUCAAGAAUUUGAAAUCUUGAGUCAUCUUGUGCAAAGAAUUUCUGAUCGAGACACUAGGAUUUUUGAGCCUAGAAAGAAUUGGAAUAAAAAGGUGUCAUUUGUCAAUGAAGCAAAAGAUUCUGAUUCUGAUGAAGAGCCAGUUAUCGACUUAGCAAAGUGGGUGAAAAACAAGAAGCCGAUAUCUUGUCCCUUUGGUCAGAAAGAGCCAGAGAAGUUUGCUUUUGAUAUCACUAAAGCCGAUAGGAUUGACCUCUUGCUUCAGGAAGGACAAAUUAAAUUAUCACCAAACCAUGUGAUUCCACUAGCAUAAGAGUUGAAAAAGAUCAAGUAUUGCAAGUGGCAUAAUGCAACUUCACACAGUACAAAUGAGUGUAAAGUGUUCAGGCAACAGUAGCAGUUAGCUAUAGAAUCUGGGAGAAUUAAGUUUGAUCACUCAUCAGCGGCAGCGGGAGAAUUGGCAGUAGCGGGAGGAUCGGUAUCGGUGACAGCAAGAAAAGAGGCGUCGGGAAGAGUGGAAUCGGCAUAAAGAUCAUUGGGAUUGCUCGUACUUUGUUCACUGUUGGGAACGGGGUAUCAAGUUGCCGACGGUUGAAAGUUGCCCCGAGUGCAAUGGUUAUUAUCAGAACAAUCGGUCAGAAAGGAGAUUCCGACAUGAUAAUCAAGAUCUUUCCAUUAAUGAGCCGAUCAGAGGCAGGGCAUCAGUGCAUGAUCGGCUAGGGGGUAGACUUAAUGUGCAUGAACGGUUGGGCAGAUGUGUCGUGUAUUUUCUAAGAAAUCAAGAAGAACUAGAGGAAAUGGCAAAUGCUAGAGUUCCUGAUGAGAAAAUUUUCUAUAGGGAUCCUAAUAUACGGCGUGUAGAGUCAACUGAAGUCCGUUAUCAACGGGUUUGGAAGACCAAACUUCCCCGAUGGUGUCCAGAGGGUUUGACAAGGACACAAAGGAGGAGGAUGCAACAGGAGCGUCAUGAAGAUUUGUAUAGAGAAGAGAAUUAUUCUAAGUCUGAGAAUCGGUAGCAAUCAGAUCACAAGGGAAAGGUCUAUCAGUAGAUGUUAAUAUGGUAUUCAUGUUGCCGAUGGAAUUCCUUGUGCCUUCUAGUGAUGAUUGUUGACGGUCCUUAAGUAUCAAAUUUAAUUAUCAAAUAAAUAAAGAAAAGGAUCCAAAUGAAAUAAAGAUCUAGACUUAGGGUUUUAUCUGACAGAAUUCCACGAGUUUUGGUGUUUGUCUAUUUCUGCAGGGGGAUAUCAGGAAAUAUGGAAGAAAGGCCCACAUGUCAGGAUUACGUAAAGAUAUUAACGUGCUGCGCAAUUAUCUUACAUCUAGAAGACUCCAGAAGCCACGAGACCGAAGCGGAGGCGAAUCGGGGCCAGAGACAGGGCGCCCGCCCUGUCCAACUGGGCGCCCGCCCUGCCCCCAAGUCCAAUCAGGACUCUGCUUUGCGGGAAGUCUCCACCGACCUAAAGGAUGAAUCUAAACCAUACAAUCUAUGUCGGUUUGAUCCAAGGGCCCAUAUUCACUUGAAGGGACUAUAAAACCAGACCCCCUGGGCCCUGGAGGAGAGAGCCUCUCAACCCUAAUUCAUUGUUCCAUCAAGGGAGAAGAAGCCUCUGAUCAAGAUUAGAGCCACCACAUCAAUUAGAUAUCUAGAUUAGCAUAGCUACAUAGGAUUAGAACUAGAAGGAGUCAAUCUUCGAUUGGUUUCCGGAUCUGUCAGGAGGAUUCUUGGUAAUUCUCUAAUUGUGCUUCUAAUUGCUUUCUAAUUAUCUUUGUUCUUCAAUAUUAUGAAUAUGACUUUGUUCUACUUCAAUAUAUUGCUUAUGACUUUGCUCUACUUGCUUAUAUUCAAGAUUAUAUUGUUCUUAGUUUAUCAUAGUUAUGUACUUGGCUUAGUUAGAUACGAUCUAUAUACAUGCUUAGGAUCGUAUAGCGUUUAUCCAUCGGAUCCAUGGGUAAAUGAUAGAUAUUGUGUAGGCGUGGUGCUUAUACCGUAUUUAUCUGCGAUUGUACCCAAUAUGCCAGAUCGUGGGGUAGUUCGUGAUAGUGACAGCUUCAUUGAUUCUUAUAUAGUCCCCCUCUCGUGUAUUGGGCUGGCAGAGCAACAUUAUUACAGGGGAAUGAUUGCUAUGUUUUUCAUAUUCCUUGCUAAUAUCACUAUGCAUGGGCGUAGUCUUGUCUAGCAAUGAUUGCUAAGUAUGCUUGCACUAACUAUGAUAUGCUAGACUAUAUAGUUAAGAAUAACUUAGGGAAUAUUCUUGUAGUUCGUUCUAAUACCAUGCUAAUGACUUUCUAGAGUAUCUAAUUGAGGUGCUUAUCAUAUUUAUUAUGUGGCUAGAUCAGAUUAGUUAUCCUUGUCACUAUUAUUAUUUCAUAUAUCUUUUAUGUGACACUUAUCCCUGUAUGAUGAGUUAGAUAUAAUGUUCUCAAUUAUACAUGCAAUGAUAGAUGCUCAAUCUCAUAUUCUAUUCUGUAAUCAUUAGUGAUGAUUUCUAAUCCCUUCCCAGUGGUAAAAAUAUAAAUAACGAUACCUGGAAUACUUCCCGGUUAAAAUGCUACAUCGGUAUUAAUCUGUGCGCUUGCAGAUCCCAUUCAUUAUUUAUUUAGAAGAGCAAUUGCAUAUUUCAAUACCGCGUCUCUCAUAUCAUGCUGGGGAUGACAACUUGGCUUAAGUGGUGUGAGGGAUAGGUUUGACAUUUUUGGCACCGUUGCUAGAUUUAGAACUUAGUCUACUUUUAGUAAUGAUGUUAAGAAUACCCAACAAUGAUGAAGAAAUCAAUCUCUCUGAUCAAAUAGCUCAGUUGGUGCUUGAUCUGAUGAUGGCUGUUUUCGAGAAGCCAACUGAUCAUGAAAGACAGCAUCUCAAGACUUUGUUCAUUAAGGACAGGGUUGAUGGGCAGCCAGUGUCUAAGAUACUCGUUGAUGGAGGAGCUGCAAUUAAUAUCAUGCCCUACGUAAUGUAUCAGAAACUUAGCAAAGGUGAUCAAGAUUUGACCAAGAACGAUAUGAUGCUGAAAGAUUUUGAAGGCAAUGUGUCACCAGCUAAAGGGGUUGUAUGCGUUGAAUUGACUAUCGGCAGCAAAACUUUGCCGACGAUGUUCUUUGUCAUCAAUGGUAAAGGUGCGUACAAUCUGCUUUUGGGGAGGGACUGGAUUCCUUCCAACUGUUGUGUUCCUUCUAUGAUGCAUCAAUGCCUCAUUAAAUGGGUUGGAGAUAAGAUUGAGGUUGUUCCUGGCGAUUCUUCUUACAUCAUUGCAUCGGCAGAGUCAGAUACUUAUGAGCGAACCAGGUGCAUAUCAGGAGAGGCCUAGGAGAAAGAUUUCCUCAGAGUUACCGAUUAUGAAAUUCCACCGAUCCAAGCAGUCGGUUCUGAUGAAGAGUUUUAAUGGAUAGAUUCACCGAUGAUGAAAAGUUUGGACAGGGGUUCACAUCGGCUGAUGAUUUAGUAGAAGUAGAUAUUGGUAGUGGUGAUAGGCCAAGACCUACUUUUAUUAGUGCUAAGUUAGAUUCCAAGUGUAAACAACAAUUGAUAGAUUUGUUAAAGGAAUAUAAAGAUUUUUUUGCUUGGGAUUAUACUAAGAUGCCUGGAUUAGACCGAUCGAUUGUUGAAUAUUGUUUACCUAUUAAAUCUGGAUUUUGGCCACAUCAGCAACCAGCGCGCCGAUGUAACUCUAAUAUUCUUCCCGAUAUCAAGGCCAAAAUUACCAAGCUAAUUGAAGCCAAGUUUAUUCGGUAGUGUCGGUAUGUAGAGUGGAUUUCUAAUGUUGUUCUUGUCUAUAAGAAAAAUGGAAAACUUCGUGUGUGCAUUGAUUUUAGGAAUCUUAAUAAGGCUAUGCCGAUGGAUGGCUAUCCAAUGCCUGUUGCCGAUUUGCUAGUUGAUGCUGCAGCUAGACAUCGGGUUAUUAGUUUUAUGGAUGGCAAUGCGGGGUACAAUCAGAUAUUCAUGGUCGAGGAAGAUAUUCCCAAGACUACCUUUAGAUGUCCAGGUCAUAUUGGUUUGUUUGAAUGGAUAGUCAUGACUUUUGGUUUGAAAAAUGCCGGUGCAACUUACCAAAGGGCCAUGAAUUUUAUUUUUCAUGAGUUCAUCGACACGUUGGAAGAGAUCUACAUUGAUGAUGUGGUAGUUAAGUUUGGAGAUUUUGAGAAACAUCUAGCCGAUCUACGAAAGAUACUUGAAUGCACAAGAAACAUGGUUUGAAGAUGAAUCCUAAUAAAUGUGCAUUUGGUGUCUCAGCAGGCCAGUUCCUAGGUUUCAUGGUGCAUCAGAGGGGGAUUGAAAUUAGUAGAAGAUCCAUUGAUGCAAUUAACAAGGUGGUUGCUCCUGCCGAUAAGACUGAACUACAAUCAUUGAUCGGUAAGAUCAAUUUCAUCAGGAGGUUCAUAUCUAACCUAUCGGGCAAGAUCAAAGCCUUCAGCAUUUUACUUAAGUUAAAAGCUAACCAGGAGUUUGUGUGGGGGGCUGAAUAGUAGUUGGACUUAGAUGAAAUUAAGAGAUACUUGAUAAAUCCUCCGGUAUUGGUUCCACCUCAGCACGGGAAACCUUUCAGAUUGUAUUUAUCGACCGAUGAUACUGUUAUCAGUUCGGCCCUUAUUCAAGAAUUUGAAGGGAAAGAAUGCGUCAUUUAUUAUUUAAGCAGAAGAUUGGUGGACGCUGAGACAAGAUAUUUGGCCAUCGAGAAGCUAUGCUUAUGCUUGUACUUUUCUUGCAUUAAAUUAAGGCAUUAUUUGCUAUCGACCGAAUAUAUUGUCAUAUGCAAAGAUGAUGUGGUCAAAUAUAUGUUGUCGAUGCCGAUUUUGAGUGGUAGAAUCGGCAAGUGGAUCUUAGCGUUAUCAGAGUUUGAUCUAUGCUAUGAAUUGGCCAAAGCAGUUAAGGGGCAAGUUAUGGCUGAUUUUGUUACUCAACAUUGCAAUGUAGUGGGUGUUGACACUUGCUAACACCACUUGAAUACUAGGUUGUCAUCCCCAGCAUGGCACUAGAGUGUACUAUGGUAUUUAUACGCACACAGAUAAUCCGCAAGCGCACAGAUACCGUUGUAGCUUUUACCUGGUUAAAGGUUUUAUCGUAUCCAUAGGGAAACGGAAGAACCAACUACGCUCUAACUUAACCAAGAUAGAUAGAUAAGUGUAAAUAGGAAAGAUGGUAGAAUUGAAUAAGAACAAUAUUAAAGGUAAGAUAAUAGUGAGUGAUAAUAUGGGAAUAGAGAGUAGAGCAAUCUAAUAUAUGGGCGAUGGUAGAAGAAUAGAGAGGAUAACUAUGGUUUCUCUACUUCAGAGGGGUAUGUCUAUGUCUGGGACGAACCACGUGAUAAGAAUACACCACAAAGGAUGCUUAUCCAUAGGCCGAUAAACCCUACCCGUCCUGCUAACAAGAAGUGGACUACAGGGGACCAACGUAACUGUCACCUACGCGGCCUACCACACGAUCCAGCUAGACAGGGGAUAUCCACAAGUAAUCUAGGUCUAAGCACCACGCUUACACCUAUACUACAACUCUAACCUAUAGGGUCCUAUAGAUUAGAAGUACUCAAAAGAGUUGUGAACCAGAACAUACAUGAUUAGUAAUUGCACAAUGAAUUAGAAGUAGAUUACCAGAGUCAUCCCAUGAGCAAGCUUGAUUAGAGCUUGAUCUUGACGAAGUACAACCAGAGGAAGAACCGACAGGCCGGCCUCUCCUCUAAUCCUCCUUUGCUCUCCAUCUCGCUACUAUCUAGAUCUACUCUAGUUUAGAGAUGAGAGGAGAGCUCUCAUCUCUAAACCCUAGCUUUUGCUCUGUCUAUGAAUAAUGAAUAAUGAUCAAGGGGUGCCUCCUCCAGGGGCCAGGGGGUCUGCUUAUAUAGUCCCCUCAAGUGAAUCUGGUCCGUCGGAUCAAACCGACAUUGAUUGAACGGUUAUUCUUGAUCCUUUAGGUCGGUGGAGCAUAAUCCCCGAAGAGAGUCCUGAUUGGACUCUGGGACAGGGCGGGCGCCCAAGGGGGGAGGGCGGGCGCCCUGCCCCCGAGCCUGCUCGGUCUCCUGUUCGUUCCCGUGGCUUCUGGAGUCUUCUAGAUGAUAGAAAAUUACGCUGCACGUUCAUAUCUCUAUGUAAACUCGACAUGUGGGCCUUUCCUCCAUAUUUCCUGAUAACUGUUGACGGUGGAUAUACCAUAGAAAUCCACAUACAAAACACCGUCAACAUGCCUCGGUUGCAAGGGGAAAUGACAUGACAUGAACAUAUUUUAUCCAUAACUAGUUCCACUUGUACUCUUAGCUUGUUUAUGCAGGAACAACAAAUUCAAGACAUUAUUUGACAAAGCCAACAUCAGAAUCAUCAACAGGAGAUCGAAGGGACAACAGGUGACACCCUGGGCCCACAGGGAGGGGGUCGCCCGACCCCUCUUUGGUGGGACCCAGGUGUGCCACCUAGUCCACCGACAUAAGGGACCCCUGUGGACACUGCUGGUGGGCCCAGAGGCCCAGAAGUGGGGUCGCCCGACCCCACAUCAAAGGCAGUUCCAGGGUCGGUGGCCUCCCACCGACCUUCCCCACAUGUCCCACAUGUUGAUUUGCCCCUGCCGUUGAUCAAAUGGCGGUUGUGAGGUCGGUUUGAUCCAAGGGUGGAGAGAAGAUGUCACGCGGAUCGAUGACGUGGCGAUGGAGUAACCCCUACUCCAUCUCCCUCUAUAAAAGGCAGCCUCCACCCUUCAUUUCAAGUGUGCAAUUCCAAGGCCAAGUGCAUUACAAGUUCCAAGCAUACAAGUAGAGUAGUAGUUAGUCUAGAGUGGGAGUUAGAGUCGAGUCGAGCGAAGCUCGGGGUCUCCGGAGUCGUCUUCUGGAGAGUCUGGUAUAGCUCUUGUACCUUUCUACUUUUGUAAGACUUUCCUUUUAUUAAUAUAUUAUUCUUACUUUACUUUACUGAGUUCUUACUUAGUGCAAGUCUUUUAGUCUUGUUGUGCAUUUACUUUAGUAAUAUAGUUGUCUUAGUGAAGUUAGUGACCUGUAACCACUCCUGUGUGUGCAUCAUCGUCCUAUCUUGUAUAGGAGCUCUAGCUAGCUGCAACCAGUUAGAGUUGUAGGAUUAAGUGUGAGCGUGGUGCUCAUACUUAAGAUUACCUUUGAUUACCGCUGGCUUGAACGGAAAGUAGGAGCGCACUCCCUAGUAGGUGACAGAUCGUGGGCGGCAUUAGGUUCUCCUCACGUACAGGCUAGUUCUUAAAAGGUAAGGCGCCCAUAAGCCCAAUAGUCGCUUUCGGUAAGGGGUUAGGUGAAAAACCUUCUAAGCGUCUUACCAGCUCGGCUAUCCCUCGCACACAGUUAGUAAGGCUCUAGCGUAGUUAAGGCAAUUAUCUAUUAAAGUAAGUCACAGAAGUCAAGUUAGAUACAUAGGAGUCCUUUACUCACUCGUUGUCCUCCCACCUAGCUAACUCUACCAUUUACCUUUAGCAUAGGACCUUGGAUUCACCACUACCCUUCCUAUUCGUUAUUUACCACCCUUAUUCACUAGUUGAUACUAGACAACUCAAGGAAUCUCAUUCCCCUUUUUGUUAAACACACUUAGCCGCUUUCCCUUGGGAAAAUAUAAAUUACGAUACCUUGGAAUACUCCUUGGUGAAGUGCUACAGCGGUACAUUCUGUGCGCUUGCGGAAUUAUCCAAUAGUAAAUAGAGUUACCCUACCAGGGCACUUCUGGCGCCGUCGCCGAUAUCCGGUGGUUGCGUUAAGAAGUGUCAACAAUAACCCCCUACAGAAAUAGACAAACACCAAAACUUGUGAAAUUCUGUCAGAUAAAACCCUGUCUGGGUGUUGGUUGUAUUUGGAUCCUUUUCUUUAUUUAUUUGCUGAUUAUAUUUGGUACUUAAGGACCGUCAACAACUCGCCCAAGCUUACCUCUUGCUCGUCCCUGAGCAAGGAUGGACUCAAGAGUUUCUGCAGUGGUUUUAUGCCUUAAAGGUACACAUGCGUUUAAACAAGAUCUCAUCUCUAGGUUAGGGUAAACUGUUAAGAUUUAAAACUUACUCAUUUUACCUUCCACCAUGGGGCUUGUAACCGUCACUUGUGUCUUGAGCAGUUAAAAGAUAGAACGGUCAAGUCAAGCGUCAUGUCUCUUGUUCUUGAUCAACUAUAGCUCUGGAGUUUUUGCAGAUUUUCAAAUAAAACUCAGAGAUUCUUGUAUGACUCUCUCUAGUCUCUCUUUUGUGGUAUUUCUAGAUCCUUACCAAGGCAGUGAUGAUAUAUGCCUUCUCUCAAAGUAUGUGGUAUUUUUGGUAUGAGGCAUAGUGACAUUACCUUCUCUCUCACUCUACUCUAAUAAAGUUUUGAUAUCUAGAGAUCAUAGGUGGGAGACAGCUAAUACAUACUUACAAGACAUUUAUUUCAUAGUCAAACCAUGGAUCUAGAGAAACAAGUCAAUAAGUCAAAUCAAGAUGUGCAUGUGUGGCGAAUGAAUGGUGUAUGGUGAUGAUGGUGAAAGUCUAAUUCUACUUUUGCUCUUUUGAGGGGAUACAUACCUUUCUUGCACUUUGAAGCUUUUUGAGGAGAAUGAGAUGCUUUAUAUAUUUUUUUUCUUUCCUCUCAGGUGGGUAUCUUGUACCCCUAAUUCUACUGUCGGACACUUGUCUAUUUUUACCUCUUGUCUCACUUUUUCUUUUCUUUUUUUCUCUCGAGGUUCCGGGCACUUGCCCCUUUUUAUUUCCUCGUAUUUACUUUUUUUUUCCGAGCACUCACCCUCCUGGAAUAAUGUAGCAAGUGGUAGUAACCAAAAUAUCUUGAGCAUUUAUUUCACGGGGAAUAACAGGGAUAGAAUAAUGUUUUUUGCUAUUCUCUCCUGGAUAGGAGUAGAAUAAUUCUGGGUGAAUCUGGAGAUGGAAAUGAAUGGAUGUAUGUGGAUGCGUACUUCUAGAGUAGAAGCAGCAUGUAUGAGUGAACGUGCAAGUGGAUUUUGAUUUUAACCACAUGACAAGCUCCUAAGGGUCUACACAGCUUGACCACACUCAAUGCUCAUAAGUAGUAAAAAGUAAAUGUAUGGUUCAUAGUCUAAUAAGCAUGUAUAUAUAGCUGUGGUAGGAUUUUAAACUCUCAUCAUACAUGAACUCAUCAUGCAACAUUUUAAAGAUUUUCAAAGAUAAAAUUCUCCAGAAUUCUAGCAUCUCUAGGAAUAGAUAAAUACAGCUCAACCUUCCCAUAUCAUAUCCGUUAAUGACUUAGACUUUAGAUCAAGUACUCUUCCCACAAGUUCAGGUUUAGAGCAAAUCUUAAUUCAUAACAGUCAUACCUAAACUUGAGAGAGAUUUCACUUUUGAGAACUAGUCAUGGCAGAGCAACUAUUCAUCAUUUCCAUGUGAGAGCUUACCAUGAGGGUUCAUAGCAAACUUUAUUUAUUUAUUUAUUUAUUUAGCAAACUAAGAAAAUAUAUAUAUAUAUAUAUAUAUAUAUAUAUAAGCAUAAAAUCUUUAUUUGGGUUUUUUUAUGAUUAUGCAUCUUUUUAUUAUUUGAGUAAAGUAUAAACAUGAGUAGAAACACUUAGCUGGAUAAAUAGGGAUGCUCUUCCCCAAGCUGGAUUUUGACGUAAUUUCUUCUGAUGUAGCUAGCAGGUGACGGAGGUGUAUUUGAAUGUCGGCAGCACCCUGACAGCGAUUAGGAUGUCCUCCGUCUGCUAGUCUUCUUUGAUCCUUGAAUUCUGUGGAGCUCAAAUAGACAACAAAGCUUUGUGGAACUGGUUAAGUGUUAGCAUAAAAUCUCUUUGCCUUUAUCAUGUUGAGCUUCCUCUAAUAAAUAUUACUCUCUUUGGUUGGAUCAUAAAUUUAUUUUUAUAUUUUCAUUUCUAUAGGACAUGAAUAUAUUUAUUUUAUUUUUACGCCACCACAGUGAAUGUACUUAUGGGUUUUAUGCUACGAGCAUACUCACAUGGGGCUUAGUAUUUUUAAACAUUUUUAAUUUCUUUUCAAGAUAGCAUAAUCAACUAAUAAGCUAUUUAAGGAAAGUAAGUAAUUAAAGGGAAAAAGGAAUGCAGAAAGGAUAAAUAUGGAUAACUACCGAUUUUACCUUUCGUCGAGGGUUCAAUGUUUUAAAUCUUCUGAACAAGACUUCUCACCGUGUUCAUUCUUCAGGUAUGUCUUUUAAUUCAGGUGAGGACCUUGACGUCUGCACCUCUUGAUACGGUGUCACCCAUGUUCUUCGUUUGCCCAGCAGUUCGAAGUGUGGCAUUGGCAGCAUCCUGCUCAGUGUGUUUGUGCUCGUAGAUCCAGGUCCUUCACUUGGUAGAGUCUGAGAGUUAUAAAACUCCUCCAUGUUUUGCUCGAAGUGUACCUGCUCAUAGAGACAAGGCAGAGAUCAAGUGCAUGGGUCCUGUUGGUGGAAAACACCAACAGAACCAAAAGUGUAUUUGUUCUUCUCUAACCUUAAGCAUAGUGAGCAAGACAAAGUUGAUGGAUGAUAAGUUCAUGAGUGUAGUACUUAUAACAUUUGUCAGAUCAGAUCGCUCAACCUUAUGGAGAGAUAAUCUAUCUAUGUAUAUGUCUUUUUCUUUAUGUAUCUCAAAGAUUGAAUGUGUAACAUUUAGGCUCAUAUGAUUAGGAGUGUGGGAUCAUGGAGGUACUACUAGGAACAAAGAUUAAAGGACUAAACAUGCGGAAUCAGUUGGGUUGGUUAAUUUAGAGUUAUAAAUCAUACAUGUUUGUCUCUUUAUUUAUGUGAACGCCAGAACCAAGGAGAAGCUUAUAAAAGUGAUAGUCACAUAUCUUAAGAUGUUACCUUACUUGAAGAGUGAUGGUACAGUAUCACCUUGUGGAAGCUUUCCUUUCUUAGCGAUUGUGCAUCGUGUUUGUAGCACCCUCCAUGGAUCAUCUCUUAUGAACUAUGUCUUCCUUGUGUAAAUUGUUAAACUUCAUGUGUCCCACUCUUUGUCUCCAAUGUGAGUUUAUCUCAGGACUUCCCAGGUUGAUAUUGAAAGUUUUCCUGCAGGGGUUAGUCCGACAAAAUAUACCAAUAUCUACUCAAGCAGUUUUUUAGUUCAAUAACCAAACUAGACUCCAUGUCUAAUCAGAUUAAUGAAGGCUGUUUAACCUAAGCACCAUGCUUAAUUUAAAAGCCAAUAGAAGUAUGUGUAGUACUUCCAAACUAACACUUACUAGGAUAAACAAAGGUAGCGUGAUGGCAUUUAUAGAGAUCUACUCAAGUGGAGAUGAAGUAGUGUGAUUAGUAUUUAACAAAUUGAGCAUGUCUCAAAGGUAGGGACAACCAACAUAGCAACAUGACAAAGGAUGUUUUUAUGUAAAGUACACCCCUAAGCUUGAAUUUUUUGCAAAAUUCAAGUUUGGGUGAAUUUAAUUCAAUGUUGUAUGAUGAUUGGUUGGACAUACCUUGUGCUUGUCAUUCAUCCGAUCUUCUUGCUCCAAUCUUAGAAAGGUUAGUGACAAGAAUACCCGAAGGAAUAUUUUCACAAUUAUCUUUAUAUGCUCAAUACACAAGGUAAUGUUGCAAAUAAUUAAAAGCUCAUGUUACGAUCUGAUCAGUGCUUAUUUUAGGACACUAAGAUUGUCCUUGGGAAACCAUCAAUUUAUGUCGGUGAAGUGGUUUCCCUUCCAACGCUGACCUAUAUCAAGAUCAACUCAACGAGAUCUGCAAUAUUUAUUAUAGACAUAUGCAUCGACAACCGCCCUUUUAAAGUUUUUAUAAAUAGAAAGGAAGAGGGGGUUGGAGAUCUCAAAUGUGGUGAUGUUGGAGAGACCAAUAGAUUGGGAAGAUGUUGCAUAUGAGCAUGAAGUAAAUGAAGUGGCUAUGAAAUAAAUCCCAUGCUCAUUAAUGUUAUCUUCGUCUCCAAUCUGAAUGUUCGGAGUUUCUCCUGGAUUGGUCUCACCUAUGUCUUCUUCUGUAGUUGGAUGAAUCCCAUUUUCAAAGGGAGUCAAGAACUCACCAUUUGAAAUUGAGCCAAAGUCAGAAUCCAUUAAGGCUUCUUCCUUAUCCAUCCAUUCUACACAUUCUAGCCAUUUAGAACUUGUGAUCAGGAAAGGGGAGCUGAUAGAAUCUUCUAUAUAGCUUAGCUCUCCUUCUAUGGCAUUACUUGACAUGCCAUCCUUAUGGUCUUCAUGACUCCUAUGGUUUGGUCGUCUUGGUGAAUUGCUAGGAUCAUCAUGAGACUGAAAAGAAGAGGGAUAAGAGGGAUCUCUAAGGUCAAGGAUGGAUUUAGAACUUGUGAACAUGGAAGGGGAGCAGAUAGAAUUUUCUAUAUGGAUUAGCUCUCCUUCACUUGAUAUGUCAUCCUCGACUUCUUCAUAAUAGGAACCAGUACAUUCUCUAAGAGAAACAUUAUUGCAAGGAUUUGAAUUAUCCCUGCUUGAAGGUCUCUUAUGGAACCAGAAGUCUAAACCAUCAGUAUCUGAAAGAUUUAAGGUCGGAAUUCCUUCCUCCCUUGGAGAAUUUUGGGGUAUUGAUGGUUCAGGAUCGAUAGCUAAAGUUUGGGAUUGAAAUGGUUGUGAUCUGGCUAUCGAAACUUCUUCUUCUUGUCUAGGAACUGGUUCUUUCUCUUUCUCAGGGAUAUAAAAGCUAGGAGACUUUCCGCUCAAUAAAUCAAUCAAAUUCCAAGCUUCACUAGCGGAUAGGUGGUGGAAAGAUCCUCUAGAGGCUGUAUUCAAGGUUUGCUUAUUUUCCCUACUAAGGCCCUCAAAAAAGUGAAUUAGAAGAACUUCUUCUGGAAUAGAAAGCUUUGGGCCAGUGAGAGUAAGGUUAAUAAAGCGGUCCCAUGAUUUACCAAGAGUUUCUUCUUCCAGUUGUCUAAAAGAAAUAAUCUCACGUCAAAGUUCCACCACUUUAGAGAUUGGAAAAUAUUUUAAAAGAAAACUAUUAUGUAACUCCUUCCAAUCUCCAUGAACACUCCCUACUUUGAAUUUAUACCAAUGUCUAGCUUUUCCUAUUAAAGAGAAUGGAAAGAGCUUCCAUUUAAGGGUCUCAUCGGACAUGCCUUCUAUGCGAAGGAGGUCACAGACUCGAUAAAACUCUCUUAGGUGUGUGUAUGGGUUUUCCUCACCUUCUCCUGAGAAAGGUUGUUUUUGAACAAAUUCUAUGUAUUCGAGGUCUAUCUCAAAACUAGAUGCUAUGAUAGGCUUUGAAGAUUUUGGUGGUUCGAGAUGUGUGCCCGUAGGUCUAUGAAACUGAUAGAUAGACAUGUUUGCAUUCAUGAUAGACCAGAGAUUAAGGAUUAGAUAAGAAGAAAGAAUAGCAGAGAUAAGGCAAAGGAUAAAAGGAAAAUAUAUAUUUUUAUAUUAUAUAUAUAUUUUUAUAUUUUUUUAGAAAAUGAUUAAGCUAGUUCGUAGUCAACUCAGCAACCGUCUCCCCGGCAACGGCGCCAAAAAUGCUUGUUGACACUUGCUAACACCACUUGAAUACUAGGUUGUCAUCCCCAGCAUGGCACUAGAGUGUACUAUGGUAUUUAUACGCACACAGAUAAUCCGCAAGCGCAUGGAUGUUGACGGUCCUUAAUGCUCACAUUUAACCAUCAACUAAUCAUAGAAAAGGAUCCAAAUACAAUCAACACCUAGACUUAGGGUUUUAUCUGACAGAAUUCCACGAGUUUUGGUGUUUGUCUAUUUUUGCAGGGGGUUAUCAGGAAAUAAGGAAGAAAGGCCCACACGUCGGGUUUACAUAGAGAUAUUAACGUGCCGCGCAAUUUUCUACCAUCUAGAAGACUCCAGAAGCCACGGGAACGAACGGGAGACGUAACGGAGCCGGGCACUGGGCGCCCGCCCUCCCUUACUGGGCGCCCGCCCUCCCCCCUGGACCAAUCAGGGUGAAGUUCGGGGAUCAUGCUCCACCGACCUAAUACUUCAAGGAAAACCACACGAUCAAUGUCGGUUUCAUCCGACGGCCCAGAUUCACUUGAAGGGACUAUAAAACCAGACCCCCCUGGUCCCUGGAGAUCAUACCUCUUCUACAGAAUCAAAGCUAGGGUUUCAAUUCUUCAUCCAAGUAGAGAGGAUCCCUCUAGUUCUUCUAGUUCUACCUCUAGUUGAUCUAGAUCUAUUUCUAGUUCAUCUAGUUCUAGUUCUAGUUCCUCUAGUUCUAGUUCUAGUUAGUUCUAGUUGUAAUCUAGAAAAUAGGGAGAGAGAAGAGGAGAGCGGAGGAGGAGCCGGAUCUGUCGGAUCUUCCUCAACAUUAUACUUUUGCAACAACUGGUUCGUUCUUCAUCGUUCUCCAGGUUCUUCAAUUCAUAAUUCUUGAGUUCUUUAAUUACUUUUAUUUACAUUCAAGUUAUUUAUUGGAUUCCCGCUUGCAUCAAGUGCUCUAGUCUUUAUAACGCUAGAGUAGUAAUUAAUAGAUUAGACGUGGUGUUUAGUCUUGCGAUUACCUGGAAUUGCACCCAAUCCUGCGGAUUGUUGUGGUAGCCUUAGGGUAGUGACAGCCCUAACGGUCGACGUAUUCCACCACGUUCGGAUCGGUGUUUGUAGGACCGUAAUCAGACCUUCCUAGCCCCCUUCUCAUCUCUUUCUGUGGUUAGUGCUCUGAUGUCCCGAUAUAGAUAAUCUUGAAGUAAUUCUUGAUUCUUAGAUCAACUAGAGAACUCUCAGGAAACUUCCUCUCUUCCCACCAAAAAUAAUUAUAUAGUUAUCCUUGGGCGAUUUUGGAUCUUAAUUAGUACACUCACGUUCUCUGUGGAAAAUCGAUACUCUGGAAUACUCCCGGGUGAAGGCUACAUCGGUAUCCGUGCGCUUGCGGAUUUUUCUGUUUUCGUUUAAAAUACUCUAUAAGCUUUCUGGCGCCGUUGCCGGGGAACGGUAGCUGUGCUAGUUUCGAACCAAGUCGUCCGUGUAUCCAUUUUCUUUUCCUUUUUUACCACACUCACCUUAUCAUUUUCACCAUACCACAUGGAUUUCACUCUAAGCAUUAACGAGCAUGGAAUUUAUUUCAUAGCCACUUCAUUUACUCCAUGCUCAUAUGCAACAUCUUCACAAUCCAUUGGUCUCUCCAACAUCACCACAUUCGAGAUCUCCAACCCCCUCAUCCUUUCUUUUUAUAAAAACUUUAAAAGGGCAGUUGUCGAUGCAUAUGUCUAUAAGAAAUAUUGCAGAUCUCGUUGAGUUGAUCUUGAUAUAGGUUAGCGUUGGAGGGGAAACCACUUCACUGACAUAAAUUGAUGGUUUCCCAAGGACAAGCUUAGUGUCCUAAAACAAGCACUGAUCAGAUUGUAACAUGAGCUUUUAAUUAUUUGCAACAUUACCUUGUGUGUUGAGCAUAUAAGGAUAAUUGUAAAAAUAUUCCUUCGGGUAUUCUUGUCACUAACCUUUCCAGGAUUGGAGUAAGAAGAUCGGAUGAAUGACAAGCACAAGGUAUGUCCAACCAAUCAUCAUACAACAUUGAAUUAAACUCAUCCAAACUUGAAUUUUGCAAAAUUCAAGCUUGGGGGAGUACUUUAUAUAAAAACAUCCUUUACCAUGUUGCUAUGUCGGUUAUCCCUACCUUUGAGACAUGCUCAAUUUGUUAAAUACUAAUCACACUGCUUCAUCUCCACUUGAGUAGAUCUCUAUAAAUGCUCUCAUGCUACCUUUAUUUGCUUUAGUAUAUGUCUAGGUUUGGAGUAGUUUCAUUUAUCUCUUAAUUAAGCAUGGUGCUUAGUUUAGGAAAGAUGAUCUUACUUUCAAAGGAUUUUAAAUUAAGCAUGAUGCUUAGGUUAAAAAGCCCUCCUGAAUCAAAUUAGACAUGGUGUCUAGGUUGAUUUUUGAGCCGAUAGUAUGCUAUAGCAGAUAUGGGAUAUUUUGUUGGACUAACCCCUGUAGGAAAACUUUCAUUAUCAACCUGGGAAGUCCUGAGAUAAACCCACAUUGGAGACAAAGAGAGAGACACAAGAAGUUUAACAAUUUACACAAGGAAGGCACAGCUCACAAGAGAUGAUCCAUGGAGGGUGCUACAAACACGAUGCACAACCACUAAGAAAGGAAAGCUUCCACAAGGUGAUACUGUACCAUCACUCUUCAAGUAAGGUAACAUCUUAAGGUACUUGACUAUCACUUCUAUAAGCUUCUCCUUGGUUCUGGCGUUCACAUGAAUAAAAGAGACAAACAUGUAUGAUUUACAACUCUAGAUUAACCAACCCAAUCGAUUCAACAUGUUUAGUCCUUCCACCUUUGUGAUUCCACACUCCUAAUCAUAUGAGCUAAAGUGUUGCACACUCAAUCUUUGGAAGAUAUAUAAAAAAGAGAGAAAACACAUAAGUAUAGAUAGAUUAUCUUUCCAUUAGGUUGAGCGAUCUGAUCUCACAAAUGUUUUAAAUGCUACACUCAUGAUCUUAUUAUCCAUCAACUUUGUCUUGCUCACUAUGCUUGAGGUUAGAGAAGGACAAAUACACUUUUGGUUCUGUUGGUGUUUUCCACCAACAGGGCCCAUGCACUUGAUCUCUGCCUUGUCUCUAUGAGCAGGUACACUUCGAGCAAAAUAUGAAGGACUUUUACAACUCCCAGACUCCACCAAGUGAAGAACCUAGAUCUACGAGCACAAACACACUGGAGAUACUGGACACUCAGGCAAUCACAGCCCGGAGAUGCUUGAGAAUGUAACUACGAGAGUAACCCUAUUGUGGAAGUAAUUACUGACCUUCUGCCAAUCAAGAGAGGCGAUCUAGGACGCUCCGUCAUCCCGAUCUCCAUCGGCAUGGUGGACUUCCCAGAAGCACUCUGCGACUUUGGCUCCAGCGUCAACAUUAUGCCCAGGGGAAUAUUGAAGAACCUCUGCGUCCGAGUUGGUACCUUGUACGCCCCAGCAGACUUCAUGGUGAUAGAGACCGGUUCUGAUGAGAGGGCACCCGUCAUCUUAAGGAGGCCAUUCCUGAACACCUCAGGAGCUGUCAUCUACGCUAGUGCUGCCAAGAUCAGUGUCUACAUCAAGGGAAGGAAGGAGACGUUUACCUUCAAGAAUAAGACUACACAAAUCUCAGAGCAAUCCCGACAUGAAACAAGGAAGAGGACCAACAGGAGGAACAUGAACAAGCAAAUGUGGACCAAGUCAGCAAAGAUGGUCACUGCAGUUCAAGGAGGUCAAGAUCGUCGACUUAAGUCACCGUUCCUAACCAAAAAGGACGACCCAAGUAUGCCAAGCAUCCAGUGCUCCAUUGAUGGAUACAACUUCCAGAAGAUGCUUUGCGACACCGGGUCAGGCGUCGACAUAAUGGCCGCCAGUCACCUAUCACCUCCUAUUCGGAACCAUGCCCCUAAAACCAACAUACAUUCAGCUUCAGAUGGCAGAUCAAACAUUCUGAAAGAUUGAAGGUUAUUGACAUGGGAGAAGACGAGUACGAUCCACCCAUCAUCCUUGGAAGACCGUUCUUUAGCACCAUUAAAGCAAUCAUAUACAUUGGAACCAGAGAAGUCCACAUGCACUUCCCCUCAAAGAAGGUACGCCACUGUUUUACUGACCCUAACUAUAUAGUUGAAGACUCUAAGCAGGUCAGGACAAGAAGACGACGACGCAACCGCAACCAGAGGAGGCAAAUCAUCAAGGACGGAUGGGUAGACUAUGAAGGAGAAGUUGUAAGGUCUGAAGACAUAGAACUUGAACAGAACUGUCCUGAGGAGACCGUAGCACCGAGUCAGGUGUGGAGAGAGAAGAUAGUUAUACACGAAGACCAGGCACCGCCGGAACCACCGACUACGCCAUCCACCGAAUCCCAGGACGAUUGAGAAAACAGAGAGUCUCGUUCGGAGGACUUAAAAACACCGAACGCCUUGCCAAGAGGUAAACUUGGUAGUUAUCCUUUUCCUUUCAAUUAUUUAAAAUAGUUUGUUUAGUUAAUCAGGUUCAUGCUAUCUUGAAAAGAAAAUAAAAAUGUUAAAAAUAGUAAGCCCCAUGUGAGUAUGCUCAUGGCAUAAAACCCAUAAGUACAUUCACUGUGGUGGCGUAAAAAUAAAUAUAUAUAUUCCUGUCCUAUAAAAAUGAAAAUAUAAAAAUAAAUUUAUGAUCCUACUAAAGAGAGUAACAUUUAUUGAGGAGGCUCAACAUGAUAAAGGCUAGAUAUUUAUGCUAACACUUAACUAGUUCCACAAAGCUUUGUUGUCUAUUUGAGCUCCACAGAAUUAAAGGAUCAAAGAAGACUAGUAGACGGAGGACAUCCUAAUCAAUGUCAGGGUGCUGCCGACAUUCAAAUACACCUCCGCCACCUGCUACAUCAAAAGGAAUUACGUCAAAAUCCAGCUUGGGGGAGAGCACCUCCAUUUAUCCAGCUAAGUAUUCUACUCACGUUUAUAUUUUACUCAAAUAAUAAAAAGAUGCAUAAUCAUAAAAACCCAAAUAAAGAUUUUGUGCUUAUAUAUGUAUCUUUGCUUAGUUUGCUAAAUAAAUAAAUAAAUAAAAAUUGCUAUGAAUCCUCAUGAUAAGCUCUCACAUGGAAAUGAUGUAUAGUUGCUCUGCCAUGACUAGUUCUAAAAAUUGAAAUCUCUCUCAAGUUUAGGCAUGAUUGUUAUUAAUUAAGAUUUGCUCUAAACCUGAACUUGUGGGGAGAGUACUUGAUCUAAAGUCUAAGUUGUUAACGGAUACGAUAUGGGAAGGUUGAGCUGCUGUUUAUCUGUUUCUAGAGAUGCUAGAAUUCUGGAGAAUUUUAUCUUUGAAAAUCUUUAAAAUAUUACAUGAUGAGUUCCUGUAUGAUGAGAGUUUAAAUUCCUACCACAGCCAUAUAUACAUGCUUGCUAGACUAUGAACCACACAUUUACUUUACUACUUAUGAGCAUUGAGUGUGGUCAAGCUGUGUAGACCCUUAGGAGCUUGUCAUGUGGUUAAAAUCAAGAUUCACUUGCACGUUCACUCAUACAUGCUGCUUCUACUCCGGAAGUACGCAUCCACAUAUAUCCAUCCAUUUCCAUCUCCAGAACCGCCCAAAAAUAUUCUACUCCUAAUCCGGGAGAGAAUAGCCAAAAAUAUUUCUAUUUUUCCCCUGUGAAAUAAAUGCUCAAGUUAUCUUGUUACUACCGCUUGCUAUAUUAUCUCAUGAGAUGAGUGCUCUAAUAAAAAAAGAGAGAAAAAAAGAGAAAAAAAAGAGAUACGAGGAAAUAAAAAGGGGCAAGUGCCCGGAACCUCGAAAGAAAAGAAAAAGUAAGACGAGAGGUAAAAAUAGACAAGUGUCCGACAGUAGAAUUAGGGGUACAAGAUACCCACCUGAGAGAAGAAAAAGAAAAAAAAUAUAUAGAGCAUCUCAUUCUCCUCAAAAAGUUUCAAAAGAGCAAGAAAGGUAUGUAUCCCCUCAAAAGAGCACAAGUAGAAUUAGACUUUCACCAUUGUUAUCACCAUCAUCACCAUACACCAUUCAUUCGCCACACAUGCACAUCUUGAUUUGACUUAUUGACUUGUUCUUCUGGAUCCAUGGUUUGACUAUGCAAUAAAUGUCUUGUAAGUAUGUAUUAGCUGUCUCCCACCUAUGAGCUCCAGAUAUCAAAACCUUAUUAGAGUAGGGUGAGAGAGAAGGCAAUGCCACUAUGCUUCAUACCAAAAAUACCACAUACUUUGAGAGAAGGCAUACACCAUUACUGCCUUGGUAAGGAUCCAGAAAUACCAUAAAAGAGAGACUAGAGAGAGUCAUACAAGGAAUCUCUGAGUUUUAUUUGAAAAUCUGCAAAAACUCCAGAGCUAUAGCUGAUCAAGAAUAAGAGACAUGGUGCUUGACUAGACUGUUCUAUCUUUUAACUACUCAAGACAGAAGUGACGGUUACAAGUCCCAUGGUGAAAGGUAAAUGAGUAAGUUUUAAGUCUUAAUAGUUUACUCUAACCAGAGAUGAGAUCUUGUUUAAACGCAUGUGUAUCUUUAAGUUAUGAAACCACUGCAGAAACUCUUGAGUUCAUCUUUGCUCAGGGACGAGCAAAGGUUAAGCUUGGGGGAGCUUGUUGACGGUCCUUAAUGCUCACAUUUAACCAUCAACUAAUCAUAGAAAAGGAUCCAAAUACAAUCAACACCUAGACUUAGGGUUUUAUCUGACAGAAUUCCACGAGUUUUGGUGUUUGUCUAUUUCUGCAGGGGGUUAUCAGGAAAUAAGGAAGAAAGGCCCACACGUCGGGUUUACAUAGAGAUAUUAACGUGCCGCGCAAUUUUCUACCAUCUAGAAGACUCCAGAAGCCACGGGAACGAACGGGAGACGUAACGGAGCCGGGCACUGGGCGCCCGCCCUCCCUUACUGGGCGCCCGCCCUCCCCCCUGGACCAAUCAGGGUGAAGUUCGGGGAUCAUGCUCCACCGACCUAAUACUUCAAGGAAAAUCACACGAUCAAUGUCGGUUUCAUCCGACGGCCCAGAUUCACUUGAAGGGACUAUAAAACCAGACCCCCUGGUCCCUGGAGAUCAUACCUCUUCUACAGAAUCAAAGCUAGGGUUUCAAUUCUUCAUCCAAGUAGAGAGGAUCCCUCUAGUUCUUCUAGUUCUACCUCUAGUUCAUCCAGAUCUAGUUCUAGUUCAUCUAGUUCUAGUUCUAGUUCCUCUAGUUCUAGUUCUAGUUAGUUCUAGUUGUAAUCUAGAAAAUAGGGAGAGAGAAGAGGAGAGCGGAGGAGGAGCCGGAUCUGUCGGAUCUUCCUCAACAUUAUACUUUUGCAGCAACUGGUUCAUUCUUCAUCGUUCUCCAGGUUCUUCAAUUCAUAAUUCCUGAGUUCUUUAAUUACUUUUAUUUACAUUCAAGUUAUUUAUUGGAUUCCCGCUUGCAUCAAGUGCUCUAGUCUUUAUAACGCUAGAGUAGUAAUUAAUAGAUUAGACGUGGUGUUUAGUCUUGCGAUUACCUGGAAUUGCACCCAAUCCUGCGGAUUGUUGUGGUAGCCUUAGGGUAGUGACAGCCCUAACGGUCGACGUAUUCCACCACGUUCGGAUCGGUGUUUGUAGGACCGUAAUCAGACCUUCUUAGCCCCCUUCUCAUCUCUUUCUGUUUUUAGUGCUCUGAUGUCCCGAUAUAGAUAAUCUUGAAGUAAUUCUUGAUUCUUAGAUCAACUAGAGAACUCUCAGGAAACUUCCUCUCUUCCCACCAAAAAUAAUUAUAUAGUUAUCUUUGGGCGAUUUUGGAUCUUAAUUAGUACACUCACGUUCUCUGUGGAAAAUCGAUACUCUGGAAUACUCCCAGGUGAAGGCUACAUCGUUAUCCGUGCGCUUGCGGAUUUUUCUGUUUGCGUUUAAAAUACCCAACAAUGGAUACUGUUGUAGAUUUUACCCGGUUAAAGGUUUUAUCGUAUCCACAGAAAAACGGAAGAACCAACUACGCUCUAACUUAACCAAGAUAGAUAGAUAAGUGUAAAUAGGAAAGAUGGUAGAAUUGAAUAAGAACAAUAUUAAAGGUAAGAUAACAGUGAGUGAUAAUAUAGGAAUAGAGAGUAGAGCAAUCUAAUAUAUGGGCGAUGGUAUCAGAAUAGAGAGGAUAACUAUGGUUUCUCUACUUCAAAGGGGUAUGUCUAUGUCUGGGACGAACCACGUGAUAAGAAUACACCACAAAGGAUGCUUAUCCAUAGGCCGAUAAACCCUACCCGUCCUGCUAACAAGAGGUGGACUACAGGGGACCAACGUAACUAUCACCUACGCGACCUACCACACGAUCCAGCUAGACAGGGGAUAUCCACAAGUAAUCUAGGUCUAAGCACCACGCUUACACCUAUACUACAACUCUAACCUAUAGGGUCCUAUAGAUUAGAAGUACUCAAAAGAGUUGUGAACCAGAACAUACAUUAUUAGUAAUUGCAUAAUGAAUUAGAAGUAGAUUACCAGAGUCAUCCCAUGAGCAAGCUUGAUUAGAGCUUGAUCAUGACGAAGUACAACCGGAGGAAGAACCGACAGGCCGGCCUCUCCUCUAAUCCUCCUUCGCUCUCCAUCUCGCUACUAUCUAGAUCUACUCUAGUUUAGAGAUGAGAGGAGAGCUCUCAUCUCUAAACCCUAGCUUUUGCUCUAUCUAUGAAUAAUGAAUAAUGAUCAAGGGGUGCCUCCUCUAGUGGCCAGGGGGUCUGCUUAUAUAGUCCCCUCAAGUGAAUCUGGGCCGUCGGAUCAAACCGACAUUGAUUGAACGGUUAUUCUUGAUCCUUUAGGUCGGUGGAGCAUAAUCCCCGAAGAGAGUCCUGAUUGGACUCUGGGACAGGGCGGGCGCCCAAGGGGGGAGGGCGGGCGCCCUGCCCCCGAGCCCGCUCGGUCUCCUGUUCGUUCCCGUGGCUUCUAGAGUCUUCUAGAUGAUAGAAAAUUGCGCGGCACGUUCAUAUCUCUAUGUAAACCCGACAUGUGGGCCUUUCCUCCAUAUUUCCUGAUAACCCCCUGCAAAAAUAGACAAACACCAAAACUCGUGGAAUUCUGUCAGAUAAAACCCUAAGUCUAGGUGUUGGUUGUAUUUGGAUCCUUUUCUUUAUUUAUUUGCUGAUUAUAUUUGGUACUUAAGGAUCGUCAACAGGGGGUUCUUUGGAAGUUGCUCCUUGGACGCUUUUCUUUGAUGGAUCUACAUGUGAUCAAGGUGCAGGUAUCAGUAUCAUAUUAAUUUCACCCUGAGGGAAGAGAUAUGAGUUUUCAUUGCCGAUUGUUGCUACACCGAAAAACAAUCAGCCUGAGUAUCAAGCUUUGGUGAAAGGGUUGGAAUUAUUCAGAGAAAUACGUGCUGAUGCUGUUGAAAUCUUUGGUGAUUCUAUGCUUGUGAUAAAUCAAUUAAUUGGGAUUUAUGAAUGCCGAAGUGAAGUUUUAAUUUCAUAAUAUGAAAGAUGCUUACAAUUGUUGAAGGAAUUUAAAGAUUUCUGUUUGGAACAUAUUCCCCGAUUACAUAAUGAAGAAGCUAAUAGGUUAGCUCAACACGCCUCGGGAUAUCAACCGAUCCCAGGGGUGCUCACGUCAGCAGUUGAUGCCGAUGACUGGAGAAGAAAAAUUACCGAUUACUUAAGAAACCCGUCUAAGAAAGUUGAAAGACGCAUUAGGUUUCAAGAUACUAAGUAUGUGCUUCUUGACGAUGAAUUGUAUUAUCGUACUUUGGAUGGAGUUUUGCUCAAAUGUCUUGGUAAUGAAGAAUCAAAAAGCUUGAUGGGUGAGAUUCAUGAGGGAGUAUGUGGAGCACAUUAGUCGGCUUUCAAGAUGAAAUGGAUGAUCAGAAGGAAUGGCUAUUAUUGGUCGACUAUUCUUGAAGAUUGUUUUAAGUAUUUCAAAGGAGCCAAGGGUGUCAAAAGUUUGGAAAUAUUCAAAGGGCACCUGCAUCAACCAUGAACCCUAUCAUUAAACCCUGGCCGUUCCGAGGAUGGGCUAUUGAUCUUAUCGGUCAAAUUUAUCCACCGUCAAGCAAAUGGCAUAAAUUUAUACUCGUUGCCACCGAUUAUUUCACUAAGUGGGUUGCAGCAAUUUUUUUGAAAAAGGUGACAUCAGCCAAUAUGAUCCAUUUUGUAAGGGAGCAUAUUGUUUACCGAUUUGGUAUUCCUCAGACAAUCACUACCAACCAGGGCACUAUGUUUACAUCUGGAGAAUUUGAUGAAUUUGCAAUCGGUAUGGGAAUUAAAAUUUUAAAUUCUUCUCCUUAUUAUGCUCAAGUUAAUGGGCAGGCCGAAGCUUCUAACAAAGGGAUCAUUAAACUCAUUAAUUGUAAAAUUGAGGAAAACCCUAAAUGGUGGCAUAUAGUGUUAAAUGAAGCGCUAUGGUCAUAUCGGAUGGUGUGUCAUGGUGCAACUAAAAUAUCGCCUUAUCAGUUGGUAUAUGGGCACGAUGCAGUAAUACCUUGGGAAAUUAAAAUUAACUCUAGGUGGAUAUUUUCUCAAGAUCAGUUAGCUCCCGAUGAUUAUGAUAUUCUGAUGAAGGAUGAGCUAGAGGAUUUGGCAGGUCAUCGGUUGAAAGCUCUGGUUAGCAUUGAGGAAAAUAAUAAGAGAGUAGCCAGGUGGUAUGACAAAAGGGUAAGAGCCAAAGAGUUUGCCAAUGGAGAUUUAGUUUAGAAGUUGAUUCUACCGAUUGGGACUAAAAGUUCAAAGUUUGGUAAAUGGUCUCCUAAUUAGGAAGGUCCUUAUCGGAUAAGUCGAUCUGCUCCUGGUAAUGCAUAUAUCUUAGAAACCCUCGAAGGGGUUGAAUUUCCCAAAGCAUUAAAUGGAAAGUAUUUAAAGAAAUACUACCCAAGUAUUUGGGUUGACGCAUAAAAGUUUAAGUGCCGAUAACAAUCCUAUCGGCUGGACAAAAGUCUUAGAGUUCUAAAGAGUACUGGUGCAGCAUACUAUCGAUAAAGAAAUUUAUAGGUUUAGCAAAGAUUGGAUAGUCGAUAUCGCGUGCAGGCGAAUCUGGUUGGCUUCCUCUAUCUCCUUAGUGUCUUCGUUGGUUGAGCCCUCAACUGGUUUGAGUUUCUUCUUCACCAGUAGAGCUUUGCGGGCUUGGGUGUCCCUCUCUUGCUAAGGAUUCUUGAUUGUAUCGGGCAACUGACUUUAUUCUUGUUCCGCCUGUGUCAGUGCUUCUUCAACUUGCUUGAGUUCAGCUAGCAGAGCUUCUUUCUUUGCUGAUAGAUCUAAGAUCUUCUACUUUAACUCGAUGCUUGAGGCUUGCAAAUUGCCGAUGCUCUUAUGCUUUUCAUCUGCGAUGUGUUUCACUUGCAGCAUUUCUUCUUUGAGUAGAGCCUGGGCAGCCCUAUCGGCAAUAUCUUGAGCGGCCUUUUGAUAUUGAAGCUAACGACUUUCUAAGUGAGCAGCUUGAAACAGUGCUUCUUCGGCAUCGGUAGGAACUUGGCCGUGGACUGCUUUGAAAAUGACUUUUGCUGAGUCUGAAUCAUCCACUAGCUGGGCUGUAUCUUGGUGUAUCAAGUUCAAAGAUUCUUCUAGCUUGGAUUUGACUUCCGCCGAUACUGAGCCAAGUGCCAAUGAAGAACUUGCUUCUUCUUCUUCUUCAUCGGAGAUGUCGAUGACAAAGUAAAACAGGCUAUCGGGAGAGUCUUGUUCCUGAGGAAAGAAAAUGAGUCAGUUAAAGGCAAUGUGAGUGAUGCAAAUCGGUUAAGUCAGAUAGCUUAGUUGUUUCAAGGCAAUCUCUUGCCUUUGGCUGGAAGACAUAACCUAGGUUGUACUCUGGUGAGGAAUGACUAGGUCUGCCGAUGGGAUUUCUUCAACUGCAAAAUCGGUUAAUGCUGAGAAUAAUGACAAUUUCUUUGAAAUACAAUAGCCGAUAUUAUACCUUGUGUGGAAGCAAUAGUCGUUUGCUCAGGAGCGACGACCGAUGACGUGCCUUGGUCGGACGAGUCAAUUGUUUGCUCAGGUGCAUCGGCCAGUUCAGAUUGACUGGGAAGCACUGACUAAGGUGGAGAGGAUGGUGUCACUUUCUGCCGCUUUGGCUGGGUCUUAGUGCAUGUCGGAGCCUUCCGCUUGGGUUGUGCUUUGGUGGCUGCUGGCUGGGGGGCAUCGACACCCGAUGGAUGAACAUCUUGAGCUCUUACCGAUGCACCGGUUUGUUGCUACAGAACGCACGUGAAGCAUGAUGUCUUAUAAGUCGAAUAUAAAGGCAGGGAAAUACCUGUGAAAGUUCAUUAAGAGUAGUAGUAUCUGGGUGCGGGAGGUGUUACCGAUUAUGUCCUAGUUAUGGCCGAUACGCCCUGAAAAUAUGGUAUAAGUAUGAACUGAAAUCUGCAUGAUUCAAAUUAACUAAGGUUGUUACCUUAAAAGCUUGUGCCAGGGUAGCGGCGCAACCGAUGGAGUGGCUUUUGAGCGCUUAGUAGUCAUUUUCUUGAAGCGGACUCCUCGAUGCAUCAGAGCUACCAGAGUGGGGGCAUUAUGACCGAUGGGAGAAACAUGAGACACUGGUCGGAGAUCAAAUGGUCGCUCACUUUUGCUCAUUGCUGGUGUUGGAUCAUCGACCUGUCAAAUGAAAGAGUUAGUUACCGAUGAAAUUAAAGAUGAAGAAAAGACCAAGUGUUGGGGGAAGACAUACUGUGUCAUCAGGGAUAUCGUGCUCGAAGUCAAUCAUGUGCCAAUAUAUAUGAGCUGAUGUUGCAAACAGUUGCCCUUUCCAUUCUUGCCACCAUAAUUUAUAAGAUUCAGUAAUGAAGGAGGCCGAUACCCAGGUAGACAGAUUGAUAUCUAUAGUAUCGGCAUUGGGAGGAAGUUGAGGUAUCUUGAUCCAGUCAAGACCACUGGUGAUUGUCUCCCUUGGCUUGAUCAUAUAGGCAUAACAAAGCCUAAUCGGUAGUUGAUCGAAGCCAGUUGAUGGGCUAGUGCCGAUGGGUUGUAAAAUUUAUAAGUGAUGCUGGUACUUUUCCCACUACUAAAUGUGUUCAUUAGGAUUGCCCGGGGAGUAAUGAUAGCUAUCAUUAUAUCAUUGUCCUUAUUCAGUGCUUCAUCGGCAAGAUUGAAGAGCAAGGGGAAUCUGGAUUCCUCGUUGAUGUAGGGCAUCCAAGCCCGAUGCUCACGGGAGAGGCCAUUGUAGAAAGUCUGAAAAAAUCUACCUAUCUGAUUUCAUUUGCUUCAGUCCCAGGAAGGACUAUGAUUGCUUCACCAAAGUUAAGGGGCGGACAGGUUGCCGAUUCAUCAUCUGCCAGCUCAUGAUCUUCGGUGAUGUCCCAUGGGAAUUGUUGACUGAAGAAAUCCCACUACAGAUGCUUGUGCAUAUGAGCGUUUAGCCACAUGUUGAUGAACCACCACGGGCCUCCCAGAUUGCUGAUGGGUUCACCAAGCAAGAGCUUCUUAGCUAGUUGGUGGAGGAGAAGGUAGGUGGAGCUUAGGAGGUAUCGGCCAAGAGGGAAUCUAGAAUCGUUGGCUAGUGACUUGGCUGCUGCAAGAUAGACGUAGAUUGGCCCUACCGAUCGACCGCAGAAAAUGAACUUGUCCAACCACAUAUUGAAGAAUAUAGUGUGUUCUCUCUGGCUAACCGAUCCAGUUUUCUGAUAUUCUUGGAUGUAUCCUGUCUAGCCACCGAUGUUGCGAGUGUUUACGUUAUACUCGGACUUUCUGUUGAAAAGCCUACCGUCAUCGGUAGUUGAAAUAUCCAAGCCCAUGAGCAUGUACACAUCGGCAAGGGUAGGAGCAGCUGGGCCAUGACCGAACAUGAAAGCAUUAAGGGUUUCUAACCAGAAAUAAGUAGCUGCUAUCAUCAUCGACUCAUUUUUCUCCAUAUUGGCAAUGGAGAGCCUGAUGCACUGAUAUAGAUUGUGUUCUGCCUAGUACACUUCAUUAGAUCCGCUAACCCUCAUGAACCAGUUUUUCCAUCCCUUGGUGGUUUUGGGCCAGGAUUGGAAAGUAUCCUUCCACAGAUCUAGGGAAAAAUUCUCAGCUCCAAAUGAGAUUCUAUUGGUUUCUGUGUUUAUCAGAUCGGUUGGAUCUAGGUUGCCCAUCGGGCCCAAGCAUUGGAUAUGUGGCUGAUUGGUUGGGAUAACUAUUUUAUCGCUCAGAUCCUAAGUUUAAAAGAUCAAAGAGAUAGAGGUAAAGAAAAGAAAUUGCUAAGUAUAUGAACUUGCGAAUGUAACCGGAACUGCAGUAAAAGAGGGUGAAUACGGGAUUGACCUCAGGAACGUUGAAGUUGAUCGCCAUUUCUUCUAAGCAGGAUGAAGGUGAGGCCGAAAACUUGAAGAUUCUACCGAGGGAGGUUCUUGAUGGUUGAGAUUGCGUACUUGUUCGUCAAGAUCGCCGCCGGAGAAGGUAGGUCUUGAGAGAUGAAGAUGGCAAGGUAGAAGAUUGCUGGGUAUUCUUAACAUCAUUACCAAAAGUAGACUUAGUUUUCUAAAUCUGAUAACGGUGCCAAAAGUGCCAAACCUAUCUCCCAUGCCACUUAAGCCAAGUUGUCAUCCCCAGCAUGACAUGAAAGGCACGGUAUUGAAAUAUGCAAUUGCUCUUCUAAAUAAAUAAUGAAUGGGAUCUACAAGCGCACAGAUUAAUACCGAUGUAGCAUUUUAACCGGGAAGUAUUCCAGGUAUCGUUAUUUAUAUUUUUACCACUGGGAAGGGAUUAACAAUCAUCAAUAUUGAAUAUAAAAUGGAAUAUGAGAUUGAGUAUCUAUCAUUGCAUGUAUAAUUGAGAACAUUGUAUCUAAUUGUUUCAUACAGGGGUAAGUGUCACAUAAAGGAUAUACGAAGUAAUGAAUAGUGACAAAGAUAAUUAAUCUGAUCAGCAUAACUUAGCCACAUAAUAAAUAUGAUAAGCACCCCAAUUAGAUAUUCUAGAAAGUCAUUAGCAUGGUAUUAGAACGAACUACAAGAAUAUUUCCUAAGUUAUUCUCAACUAUAUAGUCUAGCAUUAUCAUAGUUAGUGCAAGCAUACUUAGCAAUCAUUGUGAGACAAGACUACGCCCAUGCAUAGUGAUAUUAGCAAGGUAAAUGAGAAACAUAGCAAUCACUCCGCUGUAAUAAUGUUGCUCUGCCAGCCCAAUACACGAGAGGGGGACUAUAUAAGAAUCAAUGAAGCUGUCACUAUCACGAACUACCCCACGUUCUGGCAUAUUGGGUACAACCGCAGAUAAAUACGGUAUAAGCACCACGCCUACACAAUAUCUAUCAUUUACCCAUGGAUCCGAUGGAUAAACGCUAUACGAUCCUAAACAUGUAUAUAGAUCCAAUCUAACUUAGCCAAGUAUAUAACUAUGAUAGACUAAGAACAAUAUAAUCUUGAAUAUAAACAAGUAGAGCAAAGUCAUAAGCAAUAUAUUGAAGUAGAACAAAGUCAUAUUCAUAAUAUUAAAGAACAAAGAUGAUUAGAAGAAUAAUUAGAAGAACAAUUAGAGAAUUACCAAGAAUCGUCUUGACAGAUCCGGAAACCAAUCGAAGAUUGACUCCUUCUAGUUCUAAUCCUAUGUAGCUAUGCUAAUCUAGAUAUCUAAUUGAUGUGGGGGCUCUAAUCUUGAUCAGAGGCUUCUUCUCCCUUGAGGAAUAAUGAAUUAGGGUUGAGAGGCUCUCUCUUCCAGGGGCCAGGGGGUCUGGUUUUAUAGUCCCUUCAAGUGAAUAUGGGCCGUUGGAUCAAACCGACAUUGAUUGAACGGUUAUCCUUGAUCCUUUAGGUCGGUGGAGAUCUUUCCCGAAAGAGAGUCCUGUUUGGACUCCAGGAGGGGGCGGGCGCCCAGGUCAACUGGGCGGGCGCCCAGUGCCUGGCCCCGUUCGGCCUCCGCUUCCUUCCCGUGGCUUCUGGAGUCUUCUAGAUGUAAGAUAAUUGCGCGGCACGUUGAUUUCUCUAUGUAAUCCCGACGUGUGGGCCUUUCUUCCGUAUUUCCUGAUAACCCCCUGCAGAAAUAGACAAACACUAAAACUCGUGGAAUUCUGUCUGUUAAAACCCUAAGUCUAGAUGUUGAUUUCAUUUGGAUCCUUUUCUUUGUUUAUUUGAUAAUUAAAUUUGAUACUUAAGGACCGUCAACAAACUCCCCCAAGCUUACCUCUUGCUCGUCCCUGAGCAAGGAUAAUCUCAGCAAUGGAUCAGAAGUUGUUGCAAUACCUUUAAAAAAUUGACGGUACACAUGCUUUUAAAUAAGAUCUCAUCUCUGAGUUAGAGUAAACUAUCAAGACUUAAAACUUACUUACUUUACCUUUCACCAUGGGACUUGUAACCGUCACUUCUGUCUUGAGUAGUUAAAAGAUAGAACAGUCUAGUCAAGUGCCAUGUCUCUUAUUCUUGAUCAGCUAUAGCUCUGAAGUUUUUGCAGAUUUUCAAAUAAAACUCAGAGAUUCCUUGUAUGACUCUCUCAUAUAUCUCUUUUGUGGUAUUUUGGAUCCUUACCAAGGCAGUGAUGGUAUAUGCCUUCUCUCAAGAUAUGUAGUAUUUGUGGUAUAAGGCAUAGUGACAUUGCCUUCUCUCUCAUCUUACUCUAAUAAGGCUUUUAUAUCUGGAGCUCAUAGGUGGGAGAUAAAAUAUACAUACUUACAAGACAUUUAUUGCAUAGUCAAACCAUGGAUCCAAAGAAAUAAAUCAAUAAGUCAAAUCAAGAUGUGCAUGUGUGGCGAAUGAAUGGUGUAUGGUUAUGAUGGUGAUAACAACGGUGAAAGUCUAAUUCUACUUUUGCUCUUUGAGGGAAUACAUACCUUGCUAUUUGAAACUUUUGUAAGGAGAAUGAGAUGCCCUAUAUUUUCUUUUUCUUUCCUCUCAGGUGGGUAUCUUGUACCCCUAAUUCUACUGUCGGACACUUGUCCAUUUUUACCUCUCGUCUCACUUUUUCUUUUCUUUCGAGGUUCCGGGCACUUGCCCCUUUUUAUUUCCUCGUAUAUUUUUUUAGAGCACUCAUCUCAUAAGAUAAUAUAGCAAGUGGUAGUAACAAGAUAACUUGAGCAUUUAUUUCACAGGGGAAAAACAGAAAUAUUUUUGGCAUUUAUUUCAUAGGAGUAGAAUAUUUUUGGGUGGUUCUGGAGAUGGAAUGAGUGGAUAUAUGUGGAUGGUACUUCCAGAGUAGAAGUAGCAUAUGUGAGUGAACGUGCAAGUGAAUCUUGAUUUUAACCACAUGACAAGCUCCUAAGGGUCUACAUAGCUUGACCACACUCAAUGCUCAUAAGCAGUAAAUAGUAAAUGUGUGGCUCAAAGUCUAGAAAGCAUGUAUAUAUGGCUGUGGUAGGAAUUAAAACUCUCAUCAUACAGGAACUCAUCAUGCAAUAUUUUAAAGAUUUUCAAAGAUAAAAUUCUCCAGAAUUCUAGUAUCUCUAGGAAUAGAUAAACAGCAGCUCAACCUUCCCAUAUCAUAUCCGUUAACAACUUAUACUUCAGAUCAAGUUUUCUUCCCACAAAUUUAGGUCUAGAGCAAGCUUUAAAUUAUAACAGUUAUGUCAAAACUUGAGAGAACUUCAAAUUUGAAAAUUAGGCAGAGCAACUAUUCAUCAUAUCCAUGCUAGAGUUUUAUCAUUAAGAUUUAGUUUAGCAUAGCCACUUUAUUAUUUAUUAAGCAUACUAAGUAAAAGAUAUAUAUAUAUAUAUAUAUAUAUAAGCACAAAAUCUUUAUUUGUUUUUUCAUAGUUAUGUAUAUUUAUAUUUUAAUAUAAUAUAAGUAUAAAGAUAGAUAAAAAUACUUAGCGAGAUAAAUAGGGGUGCUCUCCCCCAAGCUGAAUUUUGACGUAAUUUCUCUUGAUGUAGCUAGCAGGUGGCAGAGGUGUAUUUGAAAGUCGGCAGUGUCUUGACAGCGAUUAGAAUGUCCUCCGUCUGCUAGUCUUCUUGAUUCUUAGACUCUGUGGAGCUCAAAUAGACAACAAAGCUUUGUGGAACUGAUUAAGUGUUAGCAUAAAUAUCUAGCCUUAUCAUGUUGAGCCUCCUCAAUAAAUAUUACUCUCUAUUUUUAUAUUUUCGUUUUAUAAAGCAGAAAAAUAUUUAUUUUAUUUUUAUGCCACCACAGUGAAUGUACUUACGGGUUUUUAUGCCACUCGUAUACUCACAUGGGGCUUACUUUUUUUUCAUUUUUAUUUUCUUUUUAGGAUAGUAUGAACAUGAUUAACUAAGCAAAGUAUUUUAAAUAAUUGAAAGGGAAAUGAUAACUACCAAGUUUACCUCUUGGCAAGGCGUUCAAUGUUUUUAAGUCCUCCGAACGGGACUCUCCGUUUUCUCAGUUGUCCUAGGAUUCGUUGGGUGGCGGAGUCGGUACUUCCGGCGGCGCCUCUUCUUCAUGUAUGGUUAUCUUCUCUUUCCACACCUGACUCGGUGCUACGGUCUCCUCUGGAUAAUUCUGUUUAAACUGUACGUCUUCUGACUUUACAACUUCUCCUUCAUAGUCUGCCCAUCCAUCCUUGAUGAUUUGCCUCCUCUGGUUGCGGUUGCGUCGUUUUCUGACCUGCUUAGAGUCUUCAACGAUAUAGUUAGGGUCAGUAAAAUAGCGGCGUACCUUCUCUGAGGGGAAGUGCAUAUGGACUUCUCCAGUUCCAAUGUAGAUGAUUGCUUUAACGGUGCUGAGGAACGGUCUUCCAAGGAUGAUGGGUGGAUCGUACUCGUCUUCUCCCAUGUCAAUAACUGGAAAGUCUGUGUAGACAAAAUGAUCGUCUAUUUUAACUGGGACAUCAGUUACUGUUCCUUUAACCUCUCGAAACGUCUGAUCUGCCAUCUGGAGCUGAAUGUAUGUUGGUUUUAGGGGCAUGGUUCCGAACAAGAGCCGAUAGGUGACUGUGGCCAUUAUGUUGACGCCCGAUCCGGUGUCGCAAGUCGUCUUGUAGAAGUUGUAUCCAUUUAUGGAGCAAUAGAUGCUUGGCAUUCCUGGGUCGUCCUUCUUGGUCAAAAAUAGUGACUUAAGUUGAUGAUGUUGACCUCCAUGAACUGCAGUGACCAUCUUAGCUGACCCGGUCCACACUUGCUUGUUCCUGUUCCUUCUGUUGGUCCUCUUCCUUGAUUCACAUCUGGAUUGAUCUGGAAUUUGUGUAGUCUUGUUCUUGAAGGAAAACGUCUCCUUCUUCCCUUUGAUGUAGAAACUGAUCUUGGCAGCACUAGCGUAGAUGACAGCUCUCGAGGUGUUCAAGAAUGGUCUCCCUAAGAUGGUAGGUGCUCUCUCAUCACUACCGGUCUCUAUCACCACGAAGUCUGCUAGGGCAUAUAAGGUACCAACUCGGACGCAAUGGUUCUUCAAUAUACCUUUUGGAAAACUUAUUGUCUGAUCUACAAACUGCAAACACAUG